rnacentral:lncRNA from 1 species
AAGCUGCUGGUGUGUGUUUUCGCGGACCAAGUAAUAUGAGGAGUUUUUGACGAUAACAACACCGGAUGAUGGGCAUUAAGGUGAUUGCAAAUGUGUGUUGAAGCUUUUGGAUAUAUGGUGGUGCUUGCGACGAUUUUUAGUGCCUAUGAGAAGACUACAUUGGAUGGUGGCGGAUGCGCAUAAUGAUGGUGUGUUGCAUUGACUCAUAGUUACGGGUGUCAGAUAGUAUUCAAGUGAGCGCUAGUGUGAAGCUUUUGAGAAUUGUUGACUCGGGUGAUGACAUUACGUAGCUUUUGGAGGUUGAAGCUCUUUACUCACGGGUGUGGCAUCUCAAUAUUAAUUGAGUUUUAGGCUGCGACCGAAACAUUGUCUUGAUUUCAUAUAUUGUGUAAUGGAUAUAUGUCAUUUUUUAUUGUAAAUAUCAAUGCGCUAAAGUGCCCCUUAUCCUAUUUAUGUGAGCACAGAUUGCUCUGUGUACCACCUUCGGCACCGAGUGCCCUUAAACUCUCGGAUUAUAUGUUAACUUCACGACUUUUAAUUGGUGAAAGCCUUUGGGAUCCUUUAGAGUAUGAUAGUGAGAUGUUAUUGAGUAUAUCGUGGUGUCUGUUGUGAACUACCUUUGGAUGAAACUCUUGUUUAUUAUUGGCGACCAAUAGAACUCGUUUUGCUUCACACUAGUCUUAGAUCCUAAGAGUGCUAGUUGAAUGGCUUUCUAAAAGUAUAUUGUCGGUAAGUUGUUUUUUGAGCUUAAAACAUAUGUUUAGAUAACUAUGGAUAGAUGGGAUAUGUCUCAUGAAAUGACCAGCAGAUGGUAGAUGGCUAAAGAAUGAGCUGAUCUUGGCAUGCCAAUGCAUUAGAAGAUAUCUAUGUGGUAGGCUUGCAAUAAGGACAUAUCCGCUUUCGUGUGACUAUUUAUAACUGCGGUUGUUAUGGGGGCAUCAUAGUGCCUCACCUGGUCUGAGUUAGUUAAGUUUGAGGUUUUGAUUUUACUCUUAGUGAGAUGCUCAGAUUUAUGUCACAAUUGGUGGUAUAAUCAAUUGACUUAGACACUACAUGGCCUCGUUUCUAAUAAUGUUAGGGUGAGCAAUAUGGUAGAUCGGACUGAUGGUUGCCUCUCUUGAUCACUUACGCUUGGUGUGUUACGAAGGGAGGUGAAGUCUUUUCGAGUCACCGGUUUCAUGCACAAUAUUAUAGCGCUAACUUGAGGGAUGAGCACAUAAGAUUCGCGAUCAAUUUUGACAAGGUUCUUCAUUCGGCUGGUUGGACACGGGAGUGGGCACAGGCAAUUGGGCCGGGGGAGUACUUCUAUGAAUGGCAAUAGCCCAAAUGAUAGGUUAGCAGUAACGGAGAUGAUCGAGGGGAGCAUUGGGCAGGGGUGUAGGUACAUUCAAAUCAUAUCUAGUUUAUUCAGGUGAUUGGUCUUCUUAUGAAGGAGGAAGGCAAGCACACCGCAGUGGAUUGUGACGGGGUAGACAAUCUCUCAUUACUCCGACCUGGAUGUUUUUACUGUUUGUUGGUUUUUUCCGCAAUGGUGGUUCCUAAUUGAUAUCUGCGAGAGGUACGCGAGGUUAUUAGCCAUGUACAUACAUUUGGCACCUGGUUGUGUCAUGAAUGGCAAUUGCCCAAACUUGAUUAGUGCUAGUAGGAAGUUUAUCGGAUGUGUUGUAAACAUUCCUCAUCACUAGUCGAUCUUAAUUGGUCUAUAUGGUGAUAAGGAGUAUGUACGGGUUCGUAACUAUUAUACAUCACACAUGCUGUUGGGUGGUUGGCAUGAAGGUAUGAGUGUGCCAUCUUUCUGUCAUGCAUAGGUGGGUUUGGAUUAUUAUGGCCAUUGUUGUUAUAAGUGCAAGUUGCCAAAAUAGAUACUUUAGAGUGACGGGGUUGCUAUCCCAUUUCUCAUACACCUGGUUUUGGCCUGGCGGCCCCCUGAACGGAGCGAAGUAUCGCGAGCGUUGGUUAGUCACUAUUUUACAUCACGACUAGUCGUUAGGGAUGCACUAAUUCGCGCGCGCAUUGAAGAACUAGCAGUCCUUCUUGCGACCAAUUCAUCACCUGGUUGGUGGAGAAUUAAGGGCAAGGAUGUCGAGGCCACAUUAUACAAGUUCGAAGCAUAGUUGGCUUAUGUAGUAUGAAUGUGUUGGGAAUGUGAAUUGACAUGAUACGAAUAUACUGGUGCAAGCGCUGCUUUGAUUUAUAUUCAGUGGAUAGUCUAUUUUCCUUACUACGGACAUUAAGCUUUUGGUUUACAUGUUCGACGUACGCCAUUUCUAUGUACAAGCUUUAUAUGAAAACUUCUCGAGUGUUCUUUUUCUCUAUUCUCCUGAGGAAUGUAUUUAGAGGGGUUAGUUAUUUAGGAAUCGAGUUGCUUGUGUACUACAGUCACCUUCUUCCGUUUAACAAUAGCUUGGUAUAACUCAAUCUGAUUUUUCAAAUUUUCUAACGACCUCGUCAAAUGUACUUUUAACCAUCUUCUUAUUCUUAGCUUUUGUAUCAUUAAUGGCUUUCGUCACCCUCGGGGUGUCGGCCAGCACGUGUCUAUCCUGGUAUUCGGGGAAUAUCAGGGUCGGGGCGUGUCAGAUUGGUAUCAGAGCGUGGUUUGUUCAGAGCAUACUUAGGAUUUUCUUCUAUUCUCUUAAAGUGUCGGUUUUGACAUCAUUUGGAUGUCACGACUUCUGGGUUUGGUGCCAUUCGGCAUAAUUGUGCGAAUCUCCUCUCUGAUUUUGAGAUUUGCGCCUUACUUUGUUUGGAAAUUUCCAAGAAUUUUUCGUGUGCGGGAUUUGUGCCUCAGUAUUCGCCAACAACUUCAAACGGUCCAUUCCUAUGUUGCGUUGGUAGUCGUUUAGCUAAUGUGUUCCUUUUGUCAACAGGCUCUGGGACACGUCUGUCAUCAGAGUAAUCUUUUCUUCAAUAACGUAGUCCCCCACUUUGAAAGAACGAGGUUUUGACCUGUUGAGUCAUAGUGGUUGAGACAGUUAUGUCUUGACCUCCGGUGGCGAUUUCGUGAGUCAACAGACAGACCAGUUUGUUCCUCUUAGAAAGUGACAUCUCCACUUUGAAGAAUUUUCUCGGUGAAGACUCUUCCUUUAUGAGUAUUCCGAAAGUCGGAACUAGAGAUUUGCUAAACCAGCUCUGAGUGCAACAUGGCGCGUAAUCCCUUUAGGUUAGGAGAGUUGUUGUCAUGUGUUGGAUGUCUGCAGCUUCGUCCACGUAUUAUCGGAUAUAUCUUGUUGAAACUCACUCGGAAACGUUCUCAAAUUGCUCAAAGCUCGGAACUAGCAGACGCUUAUUUUUGUUCUCACCAAUUUUUGCGAAGUGGACAGUUUGGCAUGUCCUCCGUGUACCAAGGCCAAGCUAAAUGGGGUUUCCUUGGUUGUGGUUGUAGUUGGACUUUGGGAUUGAUGGAAAUCCCAUUUUGUUUGUUAUAUGUAGAGUUCUCCUAUUAAAUUGCUACAACCUGGCUGUUUUUGUUGUUUGCUUUUUGUCCAGAGGGUUCGGGUAAACCCUUAUGAGUGUACCUUCUUGUCUGAGCGGUACUUUGUUAUAGUGAUGCGCAAUGCAUACGUAGCUCUGGUCUUAUUAGCAGGCAUGUUCAUAAAGCUCAGAACAUUCACACCCCCUAGUUGCGGCUAAGAGAAGUGUCAGCGCGUUGUAAUUUCGGAGGGUCUGUAAUAUAUUAGGCUUAAGGAUCUCUCUAUUUCAUUUCAUAUUCUAGAGGUAGGUUAUGGGGAAAGCGUUUUAUCAGACAGAUAUCAAACUUUACUCUAAAUCAACUGGUGCUCCCUAUCUCAGGUAUGUUCUCAUUUAGAGGGCUUCGGUUGUAUUGUUGCGGCAUCCACAAACGAUUCUGCGCGAUAAGAAAAUCUCUUUUAAGGUUAUGGGCAGCAGAUCAGAGAUACCUUUCGCUUUGUCUAUCGCUCAAGGAUGUUGUCUUUUGUAUUCUCUCAUAUUCGUCCAUUUACUGCUGAUUCAGGGUUCUAGCUUUUUAAAUGCGAUGUAACUUCUUGGAUAAUUCAUAGUGCUUCCAUCUACCCACGAUUUCAUAGAUUUGAUGUGCAUAUACGUUCUUUCAAGAUUUCCUCGAUAGGCCCGUUACUGACUCUCUGAGUUUUUCAACUUCUACCUUCAUUGCUUCGACCGCUUUUCUUUUCAGUUCUAAAUAUUUUGAGCUUAACCUAAUUCCUUUUUUUGGCUAGAGGAAACCAGGCAUCAUAAGAUUCGUCACCUAUCUUGUUGCAUUACUGUGUGCUUCGCAGGAAUAAUCAGAAGUAGUGACGUUUCUAUGUUGCGUGUGGCAACAUCUUUACUAUUUAGCUUGCUUGUUUGUUUUCUCCAAUGAUUAGAUAGACCUAGGGAUGUCAUAUCGGAUAACAUCUGGAUGAGACAGGGAGGGAUUGGUGGAAUAACCAUGAGAUACCAUAACAAAUAUGAAACACAAGAAAGUGAAGAGUUAUCUUUUCUCUAAUGUUCUUUUGGCCAAGACAAAGUGGUUAUCAAUAAGUUUCGACCACUGAUAUCCCUGUGUAUAUAACUCUAUAUUUAAUGGAGAGUGUUUUUGUCCUCAAAUUGCUGUAUAAGUGUUCUUUGAACCUAGUCUCGCAUGGUUUUCUCGCCUAGAUCAGUUGGGAGAAUUUCACAAAUCCGGAUCGUUUGGUGCCAAGUGAUAUCGAUGCUAUGCGGACAUCCCCAUGGUCCGGUAUAAUGCUUUUUGAGGUGAUGAUAGAGACCAGGAUCUCUUCACAAUGCAUACUGUUGUGGUCAAGGCGCCGAUUUUAAUCUUUCCAACAAAGCUUCUUUACCAGGAACUCUAGUUUCGUUAGUUGACAAAUGUUAGGUUUUAUGCAUCGUUUGGGGGUUGGUAGAAAGUAUGUAGCUUUAUGCUUAUGAGUUGAUCGUGGGGGUUUAAGGAGCAUAGUUGGCCGUACCGGAUGAAAGAUCUGAUGUGUGGGGCUUCAUCUUGAGGGCUGGUAUACGUUUCUAUGACUUAUGAGUCUAGGUUGUUUAUCGCAACACAUCGAUUUCUCUUCGUAGGCAAUAUCAGGCCAGGCUGUUGUUGCUUAAAACCGAAGUGUUGUAACAUGAUCAGCACUAUAAGGUUUGAUCGUCCUCUGAUCUAACCAUUGCCAUAGGGGGUUGGAAAUUCAUCAACAAAUAUGUGUGGAUACCAUGGCCUUGAGAUCAUUGCAUGUGCGUCCAAAGAUGAAUUAUGGGUAUGUCGCACAUCGGUUAUUUGGGUCCAAACGUCAAACCACUAGGGAAGUGUUUCGUUAGCUGGCCUAAAAUCGCAUAUUUGUCUACAUCUGCGCUUUACUUUUGUAACACUAGGUCCUGUAAUGUUACGAGUGAGAUGGUGAUAGUGAUAUAUGAUAUGGAAAGAUGUCAUAAGGUGCUCAAUGAACAUCUCCUGUCUCGAAAGUGUUGCAUUAUAGGAAUCAUGGCACCGAGAAGUGACAGCGUAUCAAGUAGUGGUCGAAAGGAGCAAGAUGCAGAUGGAUAAUCUUGCCACUUCUCCUUCGAAGAAAUCGGUAGCUCCUAUGCUUUUGUUUGUCAUCAGUUACAUUAAGUGCCUCUGAAAGGCUCAAAAUUCAGAAGUGCGGGAUUCUGCUUGGUGCCCACGCGCCAACCUACAUUGGCCACUAUGUUUGACGCGAACCUGGAAGCACCCCUGGGUCGAACUAUCGUCAAAAUCGCGAAGGAAGUUCGGGUUUGACGGCACUUACUAUCACAAGAUUGUUGUCCCUAUAAGUAGAUCUAUCAACCUAUGGUCAGUUGGUUGGGAUUGCGAUUUGGUAGAGGAUCUUCAGUAUAUUUUGCUUGACUUGCUCGUUUCUUCUUUCCGUAGCUUUGAGAUGAUUAGAACUUACAUAUUAGACUCCACUAAUGUUAGGCGUGGUAUGAGCCUACUAUCACUCUCUCUGGCCUAUUCCGCAUGUCAAAAUAUCUCACAGUGUAAUCACCCUUAUAGUGAGUGCGUGUGAUUACCUCUUUAAACUGAGUUCGUCGAAUCUAUGAAGAGGCUGUUUCCUAGCAGUCUUUGGCUGAGUAUGGAACGAUGAUUUAAGUAGAAUGCGUAUUGGCAUCGAGGCGCACUUUGUUGGGUGCUAGAGUAUAUCAAGGCAUUCAUCUACUGGACGGUGUUGGUUACGGGGUGGUCACCCCUUGGAGGGUGUAAAGAGAAAUUUUGGUAUUCAUUUUUUUAUUCAUUCACGUGUAAAAGCUUCAAUCACGAAAGGGGAUUUACGAGCUUUCUGCGGCGGCUCAUGACAUCCAUGGCCGUUAUGCCCUGUUGUUUGCGACAUGGUACUAAAGUUUUUCUACAGAACAUUGUGUUAGAGAGUUUUGGUUGCGAAGCUGUAUUCAGAGGGAUCGAAUUUACGACGUGUAAAUUUUUUGGUUGCAUUUCCUUCAGGAAUACUACUGGCUUUAUCUCAAGACAAAACAAAUUUUUGUGCCUUGAGUGGUUCUUCUACUGAUGUGAGUUGCGGCUUCGUACAGAAUCCCUGUUGGUGUCAUACGUGACUUUUCGAAAUUGGGGCUUCCUUGGAGUAAUAUUCAGGUGUUGGUGGCUUUCUAAUUCUAUGAGGAUGAAAAAUGGGUCCACGGCCAUAAUAUGGCUUAAUCAAGAAUUUCAUGUGGUACUGCCUCAUCGAGCAGCUUGAUGCAGAUUCAGAUUAUUAUUUGGGACUCGACCCAAGCACAUCUUUCUCGCAGUACGUGACAUUUCAAAUUCUUAGCAAGACCCACUCCAUUUUUCAUUUUGGUUUUCAGUAUAAGCAUUUUGAACUCCCUUUAUCUAGUUAAUUGUUUGACGUAAAAUGUUGGCGAAAAGUAUUUAUGUUUCGUCUUUAAGUUGAUUCAAGUUUUUAACUAUAUGUUAUACUUAUCUAUUUUGACGUUUCUGGCCUUAAAUGUGUUAUUAGGCUUGUCUCGAACACAUCGUAUAUUUUAUAGUAGAAGCACUGUCUUAUCUUAAUGUUUGAUUUAUAGCCUGGACGGGAUGGGGAGAGAGAAUAUGUAUACUAUUGAGUGCUUUGAGGGUACCCGUUGGCUAACUGAUACAGACGGAAUUCAUUGGCAGGGUAGUGUCCUUACUCAUCCUGUAUUACCGUCACAAUGAAGCACUGGGCGGUUGUGGGCGAAUUUCCCUUUGGAAAUAUAUAUCCCGGCCUCAUGCUUGUCCUAACGUAUCUUCUGGGUAUUAACUGUCUGUUUGUGAAUUAUCUUCCAUUCGGGAGUCUUCUGGCUCAAAGGAUAAGUUAUUUUUUAGUAUUAAAUAAAGGCAAGUUGGCGGGGCGACCGCAUGCGACACAGUUAUAGUUAUUUGUAAGGGUCACUGAGGAUGCUCACAUUGGGUUAAGAUAUUUGCCCGACUCUCCCGCGAUCUUCUAUUAUUACACACUCAUGCGUUCUUACUAUUGGUGUACUUUAAAUGUUUGGGUGUAGUGGGCACAAGGGGUGCCCAUAUUGUGGUUUACCCUUGGCAUAUGUCCUUUUGUUUAUUCCCCUCCGGCGUGACCUCUCCAUUCACCGGUGCAUGGUUUCUCGCCUCAUACUGCCUCGGUUCGUGUUCAUCAACACUCAGCCUGCUAAUGUCUCUCCAAGUGGUUAUGCGCUACUCCUUCUUGCGACUCACUGCUCUCUGUACUUGACAAACAAUUACUUAUCACAGGCUCUCGUUCCUCUCUCUCCCCCUAGGCCUGCAUGAAGGGCCUAUUGACUCGGGAAGAGGGCCCUUCAGCACCGAUCAGGAGGAGGUCUUGCUCCCCAUCCAAUGCAGGGCAGGGACUCCUCGUCCCCUUAGCGCGUGAGAUGAGGUAUAAAAUCCGCGUCCAAUAGGCCUGGAAAGCGCCAAGAGCGCUCGGCCGACAUACGUGCUCGUUCUUCCUACGUGGACACGGUUCGGGGUAACUUUACUUCGUGCGCGAAAUAACUCGUGUCACCCACAUAGUUUUCAUCGUGUGACCACGAAUGUAGCAAAAGCAAAUUGGCGUUCGAGUUUCAUUGAAAGACAAGAUGUGUUGAGAGACCAGAAUUAGUUUCCGGCAGGUUCCGGCAUUGAAAUAAGCCUCCUCAUUACUAUUCUCUAACGGGUAAGGGUUUACCUGGGUAGCAGAAAGACGACUAUAUACUAGUUGAGAGCUCUGCCAGAGGGAGGGUGGAUGGGAGACAAGAAGACCAACUCGCCAUACUUCGGUUUCGCGUUGGCUCCAUAACCGACUGAUGCUGCCAUGACGUGCUCAGACUCGAAAAGCAUGUUUUAAGGUGUGUGCCAAUUGGGCUGGCUCCAAAUCCUCCUAUCACCAGAUGAUAGAAGCUUGUGGAAUACCAUAAGCGUAUUGAUAUGGGUCGUAUUGGACUAAUAUUAUAAACUUUGUUCCUUCCUCUUGUUCGUCAUUUUUGUACCUUAGAUCGGAGCUUUGAAGCCCCCGUUUUGUCGAUCGUGAGAAACCGGUCCUACUUGUAGGAUGGAGGGAAGCUUCCGGCCUUGUCAUUUAGGCCUCUUCACGGCUCUGGGUGGGCAAACCAGGCCGUUAAUGCUCGUCCUACCAGUUCUACAUGUCUAUCUCCGGCGGCUGCAUCUAGGUCCGCUGUGUUCGUCGGUUUCCUUUUCAACUUGACCCCUAUACUUUAUCUCACCCAAGGCGACUUACUUGUUUCUUAGGACUAAGGUAAGUUUUUGGUUAGAUCAGUUGAUGUAUAGUAACAAUGUCACCCCACAUAUGGGGCUCAGAUGCUCUUCCUCAGUAUUGUGUCUCCGAUCAGGCCCCUUUGUAGGUGGCGUAUUAGAAGGUGAGCGUAAAGUAUUAGACCGCCAAAAUAGUUGGCUCGUUUUGAUUUUUUCCUUGGACUCGUUACGAAUGGAAGCCUCUAUUUGAAACGUGUCGCCUCAUUGUAGCAGAGUUUUCUGUCAGGAAAUACCGUCAAAGUCCCGUAGUGGUGUGUGUGACCUGUUUGCGAUGAUUUGUUCCUACUUAGUUAAUACUGUGUCUAUGGGUCCUGGUCCUCUAAGCCCAAACUCUCUCGGUCUUAUGCCUUUUCUCGAGCUUAGGUCGUGGCCUAAUGAGCCUUGGUAUAAAUACAGAGCUCUUCUACAAAUACACCCACCCACCUUUGCGUCCAAUUGAUAACUCCCAUCGAAGCAUAUCGUGCAGGCGGUAUUACUCUUGACGAUUUGGUACUUUUCUAGAGAAUUAUACAUCCAAUUAUUUUGGACAAUUAAUCACUUUGAAUAUUUUAAAUCAGUGAGCAUUAUUUCAGUUAUUCCUUUCAGGAGCUACUUCUUUCUUUAGGUGGACCAAAUGAAUAUGGUUGAUUGCUUCUUUUCACCUUCGUUCCUUCUGUUCGGGCGUUCGAAGUGCGGCAGAAGCUAACUGGUUGUAUUGAUAAGUGGCUCAUCGUUGAUCAAUGGUUCUUAGAGUUAUGAAUCUGUUGGAGAGUCGUCGACCUCCCCUCCUUAUUCCAUUGAGAUAAACCAAUACGAUUGACGUUAAUAGUAGGAUAAAGUUGUCGACCCUCAUAGAAUGUGAUUUUAGGGGAGGGCACAUCCGAAGAUAUGUAUAUGGAGGAUUGAUUGAUGGUUCAGCAAGGCCUCGUUUGAUAUGUUAAAUAAUUGGGCAACGUAAGCUCUGCGUCUGUCGUUGAGUACGUUGCCUGUUGUUCGAGUGUUUAAUUAGCGUAGCGUCCCCAAGAGCUUCCUUAUUACUGGACUUUAAUAUACUGUCUCUCCGAAGAAUUGAUUGACCUCAUGUCUUAUCAUUCUGCCUAUAAAUAAAACUAUCGUUCGCUUCUGGAGCUUCUAGCUCAUCAGACUAGCGUAACUGAGAGAGCAAUCUCUACUGAUAUUUCACCUUCUUGCAAGUUUAUUUACAUGUUAACUAUCGCACUAGUGCAAGUAAGGAGAGCUAGAAGUGUCAUUUUUCGGUGUCUAUUUUUGAUUACAAGUUAGCGCUUCCCUUCAUGGUAGCAUCCCCCAUGUUGGAGAGGGAUAUUGCAUCCUGGUCAUAAAACACGAAAGUAGGCUGUACGAUGAAUGAGGUGGAGAAACUAUUAACCAAGACGAUUAAGCCAUAAAAGCUAUUGUUGGUGAACGUAGACCUGAAGUGGGAAUAAGUGUGGCAUUCAUCACAUGAAUGCCGCGGCCUAAACUGUUGUAAUGGCCAGCGAAAGGAUCAGUCUUAGGGUCUGAUCUAACAUAAAAUUUGGAGCCUGUUGAUCCAUGCUCGCCUAGUGAGGUUGCGUACUGAUAAGUCUACCUUGUUGGGAUAAGAAUGCUAAACUUAGCGGAAAGGCGAGCUGAACACGGAUAGAGGGAACAGGACAAGGACAGCCGAGAACAGGCAAGCCCAGGUGGUAGCGUGGGGAUUCUUACUCUCACGUGAGUUCGUGCUACGUAUCCCAGGAGUAGGAUGGAGUUCCAUCCACAUUAGAAUUUGACUAGGUGUUAGCCAAGCGACAUUGGAGUACAUCCGGUGUCAAGCUCUUCACUUUAUGUUGAAGUACAAUUAAGUGACAAAUGGAAUUUUUUAUUACCAUAGCAAGCACAUGACAAUCAGCGAAUAUUGGCGGAGCAUUAACGUAUGAACAUCCCUCGCACUUAUCCUGGUAGUAGAAGGGAGUUCUUUACGUCUUUUGGUUUCCGCAAACUGUAUUGAACACUACUCGUGCGCUAGUAUUGGUGUGAUUGGCUUCUGAGUGAUGUCUACCUGUUAGCACACCUUGCUGAUCGGGGACGUCUUUUAUUAUGAGAUCCUCAGUCAGCUUAUUCUUGUAAGUGAUGCGAUCUAUCUCUGUUCGUGCUAUAAUUAUUUAAGCCUCCACGUUGGUGGGAGGGAAACUGCGUUUCUAGGGUUUAUCUAUUGAUACUUUUCUUUGACAGGUAUAUGUGAUUUAAAUCGUGUUAGAAACCUUUGCCCGUAGUCCACUCUAUUUAGUUGUGUCUAGAUGUUGGUCGAAAUCGUACCUCGGAACAUAAUCACAAUGAGGAACGAUCCUAUAAUUGAGUAAUCUCCAGACUAGCAAACCCGCACAUUCCCAAGCCAUUCAGGACCGCCCAUAACACAUUCGCACCGUUUAUGUCUAAUUAUAUAAUGGCCAAACCGUCAUGCAUAUUCGGAUUACACUCCUCGAUUGUAGGACUUCACUUCUUUAUUCAAAUUUGAGUACUUCUACCAAUAAUAUUACUUUUCUAUUCUGAUAUCAACGCGUUUCUAUUCAGAAUGAAGCACUUUGAGUAGUGUGCGAAAUAAUUUGAGGAAAUGAUCUUCAAUCUGAAACACUGUUAUUUUACUCAUAAAGAACUUUCAGUCCUGUUAAUCUCGAUUUGAUUUUUAAUUUUCAAACAACAUCUCUAUUAACACCCUCAUUAUAUUGUUCCUACUGAUAAUGUGCUUUUAGACAAUUGCUGUCUAUUCUUAGGUCUCCGAGACUUAUAUUGCUUAUACUAGUUGCGAGACACCCUACGUCAGAGGUGCGGCUCAGACAUCGUAGCAUUAAUUCCGUGUAGGUAGUUUAUUGGGCUUAGACAGUUUAGUGCAAAUAUGCCCGAAGACACCAUCUCACGAAUACCCUUACAAACAUCAGGGGGGGGGGGGUCGGGCCGCGCUCAAACAAUUCUACAGCAACACCACAUUGCUCUUGCCACUCUAUUGAGAGCACAUAUUUAAUACCUGUGCUUGGUCAAUUUUCUUGCAUAAACUGAAGGAUUACAAGUUUCUAAUGUAGUUAAUUAUGCCACCCAUUUUCAUUUUUGUCCUGCAACACAACAUUAGAACAAGAUGACGAGUAACUAAAUAACCAUCAGUAUAACAGACUUGGAGUUCCAUGGACCUAUGCGAUGUGAUAGAGAAUGUUCUUCGUCAGUUCGUAAUAAGAUACUCGCUACGUCUUAACCCUCCUUAUCCGUGCGAUGGGGCGCAUCUCCAAAACCGAACUGUUUCAACUUUUCUUCUGGACAGCAUCCCUCCGAUACUGUUCCGAAGGGGUAUCUUCUCUCAAGUUUGAUGUCCCCUCUUGCUGCAGCCGGAUGACCUAUUUUAUAAGCAUCCUUAGGAGAGCUCCUUAGAGUUUUUACAUAAUAGGGGAGAGAUCGAGGCACAUGUUUUCUUCACUUUCCACUUAACCUCCACCCCAACUGUCUGCAGUUUUUCUAUGGGUCUCGCAAAAAACAUAGGAGACCAUUGUGCACGUUCUUUCCCCUUUUGUAGGAGAAAAUAGGCUAUAAACUAUUUAUCUAUAAUAUUUCUUCAUAGGAUUAGUUGUACUUUAGUAAUGUAAAGCCACCAUCCUCAAUUUCUUAUUGGAUGUAAACAAUAGGUUCGUUAAGGAAUUACAUAUGAUAUAUAUGCCAUCCUGAUCGCGUUUUCCAUCAUCCCUCAUCCCCACCAUCGGUGUUGAUUAUGGAUGAUUUUCACCUCUAAUUUUAUUUAUUUGUUUUAUUAUAGUGUUUCUCCACUUGAUAUCAAUCUCAGAAGUAUUUUUACCGCUAGCCGCGGAUCAUCACUCGCAGUCCCAUUGAGAGAGAGCCUCAUGCAACUAGUUUCCGCAUGAUAAUGUCCUUACCUCUUAUUAUUGGCCUUGUUGGUGGAAGGUUAUAGUAGGUAUAUGCGUGUUUCUCAAAGGCGAAGUGGCGGAUGAUCCUAUAUUUGUGCGCUCUUGUCCGUUCUUUGCUACGCACAGAACAUAAGGACUUCUUUCACGUAUGACGGAAUAAUACUACGGUGGCCGAGAUCUUCGAGAAAAUCCAUAUGUUCUUACGCAUUAUGAAAGUAUGUACCUUUUUUUAUGUGUUUCCAAUCUGCCAUCCUUUUUCUAGUGAGAGAUCCCCAAGGAUUGAUGUGUAUGAUUCCCCAAACAUAUCUUACGUUAAGUUUUUGUCUCAUCACAUUCGCAAUGGCUGUUCACAUUAAAUCAAUAUUUUUUCAUCUCAAUAGGUUUCCCCUUGUGAUAUUUACCUAAGCAACUACUUGUAGAGAUUACAACAGUACCUUCCACUAGAACCAAUAAUAUCCUAUGGAUCUUGUAACUUGAUUUAUCAUUCUUACUCCUAGAACAAAGUAUAUUUGAAUAUACGCAUCAGAUCUACCCUGUAGAACUCUUCCCGCCAAAAUCCAUCUACCUCAGAUUGCGAUCUCGUAAUCCAGCGAGUUAAAUACUCAGCGGCACCUGUCCCUAAUGCACUGUCUCGGCAAAAAGAUCACUUCCCUCUGGCGCCCACUCAUUCUAGUCCUGGGUACUAAUGACAUAGGACAUUUAGCUUAAUUACAUUAACCUCAGACACUUUCACUACUAAAUGCUAUCUCACUAGGAAAAUAGAUCAAUCUCAAUUCUCAUGAAGGCGGGCCAUCGUUUUAGAGCUAAUCUAGUUUUCUUACGGCUCUAUAGAACAACGACCACUUAGAUACCACCUAAUUAUUUCGCUGGUUUGUGACACCAAGAUAUAAGUAACAAAAGAUGUUCUCCUGAAAUAUACGGCCUAUAUGGUUCUAUGUGAAUCUUGCAUCCUACUCUCUCGUCAAUUUCUUCCGAGACGAAAAGACUCCAUUCGCACGCUCUUUGCUCAUUUCUACUUUUAUCUCUAAUAGAAUUUAUUCGCCCGACAUACUCUCCCUGCUCCGCGUUGUUGCUGUCUGUGUGCUAUGCAUAUACUCUCCCAUCUAAAGCGAAUUUACUCUCGCAUGCUUAUACUAAGCUUAGGCUUCGGGGCUCACUGACGUAAGCCCUGAUCUGCUUUUCCGCUCAUUCCCUACACAUCGAAAGAUCUUACUCUAGUUAGUAAUCUGACAAUUUAGGAUUUGAUUUGAUUUGUUCUUUUCCUUUGAGUGUGCUUACAAUUGGAAUGAGCAUUAUUUCCGUUGAUUUACCAUAGAAAUUCUAAUGUACUCUUCUCCAAUGUAUUGUUACAAUUCGUCUCAAGUCACACCUAUGAUCGAUAAAUGCUAUAGUUUAUUGGUAUGAGGGUGAAUCCGAAAAUAAGAUCUAAGAUUGCAAGAUUGUUGAGUUAUCCGGUGCCACAAAACACACCAACCCUCAUUGAGUGAGGUACCCUGGUACUAAGUCCAGCUGAUGAAUGAAGGAACGUUGUGGCGAUCAAAAAUUAAAUUUUCAACCGUAGUCGUUCCAUAUGACGCAGCCAUUGCUUUUGGUCUCGCUAGAAAAGGACUACCAUGGGAUUUUUUACUGAGAUUUGCAUUGCAAGCGCGAUGAACUGCACGGAGGUUGCCAAGCCCAUUCGCAGUUUCUAACUCAAACAACUCAUUUUGUCCGGCGGGUUGAGCUCCCUGUGGAGGGUGAUCACACUUUCCGCGGAAUUAUGAAUUUGUGAGAAUGAAAGAUGGUGAAGAAAGGAUGACUUUUUGAGAGGAGAAUUUCAUUCUCCAUGUUGUUUUCGACAUGAUUCUAUGCUACGUAUGAGUGGAAUUCCUACCCACCCAAUUGAUGGCUCUUAUAUCCUUUAUAGUUCAGUGUGGCCUAGAUAGACAGGAACUAUAUUUUUCCUUUUUUAAGCUUACUUAUAAUUUUUUGAACACUAACAAUAGAGGCCAAACACCCCAUUGUAUACUUCCAAUCUGAGGAAGCCUUGGCGUCAGAAGGAAUAUGUUUCCCCACUUCGGAGUAGUGGUUCCCACAAUGUAUACUUCAACACUCUGUAGCAACACAUUCUCGUCAUCUAUUUCUCGAUGUACUACCCUGGUUUGCAUUUUAGUCUUUUUGUUUAAUGUUUAUUUUUUCAAUUUUGUUGGUGUAAUGAUGUUUAAUUUUUGUUUCUCUUCUGUUUCUUUGAUUUUCUUUUUUUUUCCAUUUUAACAACAAUAAUUUUUUAAUUUUCUAGAAAAUUAUUGUAGUUCGACCUAUUAUUCAAUGUACAAAUAAUUCAAUAUAGAAUUAAAUGUCCGACUCAUUUAGUCAGCAUUAUUCGAUGAUCAUUUAUCAUAUUCCAUUAAAAUAGUCAGUACAAUCCGAGCUGCCAAAUGAGGCUAUAUUAGACCAUAUUUUCAGUUACUCUAUUAUAGUCCAUUUACUAAUCAGUAAUCAAAAUAAAAUGAACUGAAUUGACGAGGAAUUGAAUUGAAAGGGGGUUAGAAUAGGGAGAAGCCAGAAUUGAAUUUCUGUCAAAGUUGUUUACUAUAAUGUUCUGGAAUUAGAGUUGAAAUGAUAUAAGCUAUUUACUAAUUCACCUUAAUCGGAAUGGAAAUGAAUAAGAUUACUAAAAUACCCUGAAUCUAAAUAAAGAAAAAAUCAUAACUUUUUAAUAAAACUUAAACUCUUUUUAUUUUUUAAAGAGUAAAAACCUAAUUCAAUAAGGAAAAGAAGUUAAAAACUCAAAAUAAAAUAAAAUAAAAUAAAAGGUUUGGGAACCUCCACCGUUCCACCACAACACCUGCUCUCCCGGUCUGCAUUCGUAAAUUGAUUUUGCGAUCAUCCCCAAGCGCCAGCUCUUGCCCCUCCUGAUCUUGUCGGGUUCUAUCGGCCUGAAGAUUUCUUUUUGGCGGCAAACCAUGGACUCCUUACCUGCAGCCAUUCUCAGAUUUCUCAACCCUUUACUGGCCACUCAAUGCUUUAUGUUAUGCUAUCUGUAAAAACGUCUGCAAUUGAAAUUCGAUUCGCAGUGGGUAUAUCACAAGGUUUUUCUUUUAUCUAUGAUCAUCUGCAUCUCUCUUUCCCCAUUCGAAUUUGGAUUUGGGGCUGUCGGGAGUUUGUUUGUAGAACUGUUGGGGUGGGUUGGUGAUAGGUCUUGGCAGUUUAGGAGAUGGUGCGGUGGUUAAGGGUGGGGAUGGGUGUGCUUUGGGUGGUUGAAUCGUGGGAGGUAGAUGGGAAGGGCAGGACAAUUUCGGUAGAGAAGUUUGAUUCCGGCUGUUGGCUUUCUUACGGAAUUCAAUUACCACCUUCAAGUCAGUAUUUGGAUUUCGGGUAUAUCAGGAAUCUGAUUAUUGAUUUUAGGUGGAGCCCGCUAAUUCUUUCAUUCCCAAAAUUUGGUAAAUGGCGGAAUCACUUGGGAACAAUUCCCUUUCUUCAACAUCCAUUCCGGAAAAUUCAACAGAGAAUUCAUUGUAUGUUGAAUAUUUUACUUUUUUUCUCCUUUGAUGACGGUACUGAAUACUUCAUAGUCGAGAAAAUUCAAACAGAGAAUUAAUUAAGGAAAAGGCAUACGUAAUCUAGAGACAAAUCUAUGCCAUCCUUUUCACUUUAUGUAAAAUCAAUAGUUCCAAAUUAAGUGCAUGAACCUCAAAAUCUCACAUAUAAGAGGCCUUUAAAAAGAGAUAUUUCGAUUUUUAUAUAAUAAAAAAUUAGUUGUUCACGUACAUCAUAUCAAAUUUUAACGAUUUGAAUAUUUUAUUUUUUAAGUUGCACAUUUUAGACAAUUCUUUUAAAAUAUCAAUCAAUUCAGAUAUAUUUGAGACAUUUAAUUGAGAUAAAAGAAAUUAACAAAUACUUUGUUUUAUAAGAAACAAUGAAUUUCAUUGUGAUAAUUAAAUAGGUAAAUGAUUUCAAAUUGAAUUGAAUUUUUGCAAUGAUGAUUUAUAAAUCGAGACUUACAAAAUAGACGGUUCAAAUCGUUGAAGUUCGAUAAGAGUGAGUCCCACAACUAAUACCUUUUUUUUUUCAUUGUGAUAAUUAAAUAGGUAAAUGAUUUCAAAUUAAAUUGAAUUUUUGCAAUGAUGAUUUAUAAAUCGAAACUUACAAAAUAGACAGUUCAUACCAUUGAAGUUCGAUGUAGACUUUUAGUCCCACAACUAAAAGUCUAACAUAAAUUGUUAUCAACCUAGAGACAAAUAUCUAGCCAAGUCAAACAGAGGACGGUAGAACUGCUCAACUUUAUAUAAGUUUCAACAUUUGGCCAAAAUCAUGGAAUUAUAUACAUGGCAAUGAUAUCGACGACCGAGGAUUAUUAUAUAUGCAAUAUAUUCUGCCCAUUUUUCAAUCGAUGAAAAGUCAGAAAAACCCAUGAGUUUAUAUAUAGAGGACAAGAACAUAUCAGAAUCUAUACAAGUUUUGUAACUAUCAUUCUCUUACAUUAAUUCUAACAUUUUCCUCAGCGUCCAGAAAAAUAUAUUACGAAGAUGGUGAUCAAGUACGAGCAGUUGGUCUGUGCUAUUCUUUUGUUCCUCUCUUUGGUAAGCUCUCUGUGUUUAUGACCUAACUAGUAUGCAUCUUUGUUUGUAAAAUGUACAAUGUCAGGAUCAUCUUUUACAUUUUUUUCUCCAGAUUAUUCUUAAUCAUCUUCUAAUUGGAAUCGUUAAUCUUGUGGGCUUCAUAUUUUCUGUUUACUCUCUCUCUCUGUCCCCCAUCUUCCCUUCCGCCUCACCCUCCUCCAAACCCCAACCACACCAUUGUAGCACUCUCCCAAAAACCAAAACACAAGAAAGUUUCUAAUCCAAAUAUUUUCAGUUAUUCUAUUAAGAAAAAGACAUAUUUGACACCAGACUUCACAUGUUGCUCCUGCUAAUGCAUCUUCUUGUCGAUUGCCACCAAACUUCACGCUUUUCAUUUUGGAUGCAAUUCUUUUUCAGACAAACUCAAUUGCCCAACCUCGCUCCGCCUAGCCCACCUAGACCCUCGCUUAGGUGUCAUCAAAUGGAUUUUCCUACUUAUCAAACGAUUUGACCUUAAUCGGAACGGGCUGGCCACUGCCCACAGCCUAGACCGACUUUUAGAACACUGCUAACAAGUAAACACUUUUAACUAAAAUUUAAUGGAAUUGGUUAUGAAGGACUAUUCCUCCACAUUUUAUCAAGUUUAAGGAUCAAAUAUAAUGAAUUUUUAGUUUAGGUACCAAAGCUGCAAUUGGAUCAUAGUUCAAGGACCAUUCCUCCUAUUUUCUCAAAAUACUGAUAUCUACAAUAUUAAAAAAUUAAAUUAUUUGAGGUAUUGUCUUGCUGUGUACAUGUGUAACUGUGUAUAUAUAAUAUAUGGUUCAGUUUGUAGCUCGGGCAGUACCCCAUGAUGAUGUGUUAGAAUGGAUACAGAAAGAUAAUCAUCGUUUCCUCCGUGCCAAUAUCCGAGUUGGUGAUCUCGAUCGCACCAUUAAGUACGUAGUUAACUUGGCAAAGUAUAUUCUUGCAUGCAUGCAUGCAAAUUUGUUUUAGGUUACGCUUGUUUAAUAAAUAAAUAAUUUUUAUUUUUUUCUCAUAAUAUUAAUUGUCAGGUUUUACACAGAAUUUUUUGGAAUGAAAGUACUGAGUAGAAAAGAUUUCCCAGCAGAAAAAUACUCGAAUGCAAUCGUUGGGUUUGGACCGGAAGAAUCUCAGUUUGUGAUAGGGCUCACAGACCAUCGUAUGUUAAUUUCUUCACUCCAAAAAUUUGUCUAAAUCGCUCAAUAUAUAUUUGGUAAUUUGAUCUUCUGGUAAGGAAGCAUUGAACUCGAGAGCAGAAACCCUAAUAUUUUAGGGAGUUUUAACGAAACACUCUCGGUACUGUUCAUUUUUAACGAAAAACCAUAUUUUUACAUUUCCUUGAUACUAUUCACUACACCUUUAUUUAUCAUUUUUCAUUAAAACUAAAAAAAUUUGGAUUUUUCGUUAGUUUUCCUAAUAUUUUAUGCAUGUAAGUACUCAUACAAUCUUAAUUCACAGACAAUGCAGAGGACGAGCUAGACAUUGGGACAGCCUUUAGUCAUUUUGGAUUUUCAACCCAAGAUGUAUGUAUCAUUUUGUUCAUUAAACUUUUGCUUAAGCUUUGAGGAGUACUAACCGUUUGGGUAAAAUUUUCGUUUCUGUGAAUUAAUCAACCUUCAGAUUUACAACACGGUUGAAAAAGUUCGAGCUAGUGGUGGUGUGAUCACUCGUGAAUCUGGGCCGCUCGUAGAAGGGGGAGAGGGAACCGUUUUCGCCUUCAUGAACGAUCCUGACGGCUACAGUUUCGAGCUCCUCCAGAGGCCGCCAACUCCACAACCACUUUCUCAUAUAUGUCUUAAUGUUCUUGAUUUAGAUCGCUCUAUUGAGUUCUACAACAAGGUUUAAUUGCGUACUUUCUCAUAAAUAUAUAAGCCCUUAUUUGAUCUUAAGCUAUGACCAUCAAAAUGCUUACACAAUUGCAUUUUUUUGCUGAAACGCCAUGCAGUCCUUGGGCAUGAACCUACUACAGACGUUUGACUUCCCUCAAGAGCGGGUAAAUACAUAUUUUUAUUUUACCACUAUAGUUCAUUGUAUAGUUUCUUUUAUACAACGAUAUUUUAGGCGAAAAUUUAAACUAAGUCCCGAACCAACUAUAAAUUGAUAUCAAGUGAGAAUUUGGACUAAGUUAAACAAUGAGUCAACCAUAAAUUAAUAUCCAAUUUGUCACCAAGAGCAUCAAACCUAUGUCUCAUGUAUAAAGUUGAGAAAAAAACUACUAAAUUACAGUAUUGUGACAAAAUUAUUUUUAUACUUUAGAAUCUAGGCAAACAAAUGUUACAUUAACUAUAUUUUGUGGUGCAGUAUACCGUAGGUAUGGUGGGGUACGGAUCCAAUCUUACUCAAACAGUUGUUAUCGAGUUGAAAUACAAUUAUAAUGUGACGGCAUAUAGAAGAGGAAAUGGUUAUGCACAGGUGAGCUACAUAUGCAUAUAUACUUUUCUUUCAUUCAAACACACAGUCAAAUAAAUUGCAAAGCAUGUUGUCUUUGACUCUUCUCUAUUGACUAAUCAUCGACAGAAUAUUUUCGCUCAUCACUUUCAAAUAAUGGUAAUAUUUAUUAUUAUAUUUAUUACUGUUAGAUGAGUUAAUUUUGAAAUAUGGGUAAUGUAUAAACACAAAUCUCAAAAUUUAAAUCAAUCCAACAAUAACAAAUAGAAUGGUGGGCAAAAAUGUACCCUUAACUGGUAAUUUAAAUGUCCUGAUUAUAUAUAGUUUUUUUUAUGAUUGUUUUUCAAGGUUGCUUGGCCAAAAAGUCUGUUGACUUGUAAAAAAACAAAAAAACAAAAAACCAAAAUCUGUUGAUAAGUCAAAAAAAUAAAAAUCUAAAAUGACUUUCUUAACUCAUUCUCUACUUUUAUUCUCCUUGUUGCUUCAGAAGUCAAUAAAUAUCUUGCUUGUACUAAAGAUCGUAAGAGGGACUUCUCGAAGGUUCCCAACUAGCGUCAAAGUCCUUCUGUGAGAGAAGCCCUGUCUUGGUGAGGGCUUUCAUCUUGCCCACCUUCUUUGGCGCCAAUUUUGGCUUCAGCUGGAGUCGGUAGCCCCUUCUCUCUUCCUCAUCCUGUUUUCUCCUCCUUUUCCCUUCUCUGUCAAUUCCUCUUUCUUCUCUACUUCUUCCUCUUUUUUUCUUUUUGCUUUUUCCGAUGCUUCUUCCUUUUCUCCCCUGCUUUCAUUUCCGAUCUGGCCAUUUCUUCCUACUCCCAGCGGCGUUCCUCCUUGUUCAUCUCUGCUCCGAUCUGCAGCCACUUCAAAACCGCAAUUUGUUGCGGUACUUCGAGAUGGUGUGCAGAGUUCCGGUGUUCCCACCGGCUCGGGUGUUCAACACCACCACCUUCUCACUGUCUCUGCCUUUUCUGGCAGUGUUGUUUGUGGGUUGCCACGAACUUCAUCCUGAUAGUUGGCUUCUUCCUAGCAUCCUUUCUUUGUGGCUGUGCUCGUGACGUUCAUCGGGGUGAGAUGCUGCAAUUACUCUGGCGAUGCUUGGCUGUGGACGAGGACUUGGUCGGUUCACGAUCGGCGACGAUUGGUGUAGAACUUUCUUGUGUUUGUGGUCUUUUGUGCAUUUUGGGCUUCAACUUCUGGUUGGCCCUUUGUAUUUUGUUUAUUGGGCUCGUGUUUUGCUUGUUUAUGUGUGUUGUUUGGGCCUUUUUGCUUAUGUGUAUGUUUUAGUUUGUAAUAAAAGUGAAGGAAGCAUUUUUCCACACACACACAAAAAAAAAAAAAAAAAAAAAAAAAAAAAAAGAUCGUAAGCUACCAAGGAAUUUGGAUUUUCUUGCUUUCUUGCUUUAUGGCUUGAAACUGUCUUCAAUAAUAUGUUAUUACAUCCCAUUCGAAUUGUCAACUUAUACUGUCUAGAAACCGGAUCACGUGAACUCUACAAACACAAAAAUCAUACUUGCCUCGUUCCUAAUUUUCAGGCCCACCAGACACAGUAAUCUCUCUCUCUCUCUCUCUCUCUCUCUCUCUCUCUCUCUCUCUCUCUCUCUCUCUCUCUCUCUCUCUCUCUCUCUCUCUAGUUGGCCAUAGUUUGGAAACCAAACUAAAGAAUUUCUCCUGAUUAAGAUUCAUCAUCCCGAACGAGAUUAAACCCCAUUCUCUUUCUCUCUGUUUUUCCCUCUUGUAUCUAGGGUUUUGUUGAAUAACUCCAAUUAAUAAUUAAUCCCUUGGUCAUUGAGUUCUAUGUUCUAAUUUUAUUUUUUGUUCAAAAAUUGUAUUUGAAGGUUGCUAUUGGCACUAAUGAUGUGUACAAGAGCGCAGCAGCUGUAAGACGGGUAACCAAGGAAGUUGGAGGGGAAAUAAUAAUACCACCAGGUCCAAUCCCAAAAAUCGACGCCAAAAUCACUGCACUCCUUGAUACAGAUGGCUUUCAAACGGUAAGGAGCUAGAAAACCACAUGAAAACUAUGUUCUUUGAUAAUUUGAUUCUUUCAUGCUUUCGUUUUGCUACGUAUAUUGGAAAGUGAAACAUGAGUCUAUCCUAAUCCUAACUCAUUGUGUCACGCUGUUACACGACUUGAGUUACCCGUAAAGGCAACCUGAACCUCAUUUCAUUACAUAACCCAAAGAUAUGUUCUUUUUGAUGGGCGCAAGCUCACAGAAACACUCUUCGUUGUUAACCCUGUAGGUGUUGGUAGACAAUGAAGACUACUUGAAAAGAAUUGAAGAAAGAGAGAUGAAGCAAAAUCCUUAGCAUUUGCUAUUGCUCAUGUAUUUGUAAUUUUUGUGUACUCUGCUCAUGUAAUUCUAGUUGAAUAAAGAAGCCCUGAUUCGAAUAUGUAUUUGUUUCUAGUCAAUAUUUAACUAACAAUCCAUCCAAGAAAAGAACCAGUAACUAUACCUACUAUAAGAUCGUAUUAACUUUCUCCGAUUAUAUGUCUCUGCAUCCUUGUUAGGUUUUUCUUUUAUGUUCUUUAUUGUUUUUAGGUUAAUGAUUCAUUUUGCCCUUACUAUAACUGAGCAAACUUGGAUUUUGUUCGUACCUUGUAAGUUUUCUUUCAAAUCUCCUGCAACAGCUUUUUGAAGCUAUCUUCAGUGCGUUCACCGAGAGGUAUGAUCUUUAAUUCAGGACAAAGUGCCAAGACUUCAUAAGGAUCCAUGUGCUUAAAAAUUCCCGGGUCGCAGGUUCUUCAAUUCAUACAAGAUUGUUAAGAUGGUAUCAUGAUGAGCCAUUGCGCGAUUGAUUUUGGAUGGUUCUUUCCGCUGCUCCGUUCAGUGAGAGUUUCUUGAUUCUCUCUUUCGAUUUCAGAUUUCUGUUGUGAAAAUUUGGGAAUUUUUUUUUUCGGAUUUUGAUUGUUUGUUUACAAUCUUGGAUCCAUGUUAAAGGCCAAUGCCUCGAUGAAUCAUUACAUAUCUUGUUUUUAGUUGUGUUUGUACCAUACUUAGGGCCUUUGUAUUUAGACCUCGUAUAAAUACUCGGGGGACUCAAGUGUAAUUAUGUAAUAAAUGAAGGGGCAAAUAUGUAAUAAGUGAGGAGCCCUUAGUCUAUAAAAGGGACUCCUCACCCUCACAAUCCGAAGGCCUCACUCUCAUAUUCAAAGCUCUCAUCCUCACAGAGAAGCUCUCUCUCUCCCUCACAAUCCUCUCACAAACACAGAAAUACAAUAUCAGUGUCGACGUAGCCCUAACAUUGAGGUGAACUACGGUACAUCUUGAUUUCUUUACUUUCAUGCAGAUUCACGAUCAGAUUUACAUUGUUCCAAGACCCCUCUGGUUUUGUGCAUCAACAUUUGGCGCCGUCUGUGGGAAACGGCACAAAAAUUACGUCGUUUUUCUUUCAAUUUUUCACCUCCAUCGUGGAUCUGCAAAACCCAAACAGAGACAGGAAGUCAAACUGGUCAAGCUAUCUAUCUGAGAGUUUUCUCAGCUUCUGUGACAAUUACAAAAAGAAUCUUGGCCACGGCAAAGAUAUUUUCAUGUACAGUAAAAAGAAAAGCUCUGCUUCCAUGGAAGCUGCGGCUGACGACAACGGCUUCAGUAAUCUGAAGAAAUCAAAAAAGGGCAAAACAAAGUAAGAGACAACAGAAGCUUCUGCUCCUUCUUCUUCUACUGCUCCCACAGCUGUCAAACCCAUGGAAAGACAAAAGAAACAGAAAUGCUCCAAAUCUCUCUCAUCACUCUCUCUAGAAAGUCCCUCUCACUAGAGGAGGUCCAGCGCAUUAUGGCUGAGUUCAACAAGGACGACGACAAUCUCAAUCUUCAAAUCCCCAAAUCUCUAGAUCCCUACUUCGAGAAAUCAAGCAGCUCCCUACUCUCAAUGGCCUCCUCCGCGCAACCCGCUUCAGGUCGGGGUCGAAACUGGACGGAACUGCAUCCUCGUCGUCAUUCACGUGAACGUCGAACUUCACAGUGUCGUCCGCUACGAACUUGAUCCUUUAAAUCGCCAACACCUCCUCUUCCAUUCCCUUUUCUGCCUUGGUCCUAGACUUCUUUGGCCGCGGCACGAUCACGCUGAUAACCAAGUCCAGAAUGAUCGAGAACUCAUUGAGUUCGACGACCCUGUUUGGAGUAGUCUCGGUGGCCGCCGAUUCACCAGAAUUCCCUGUGAUUUCGCUCAUCUUUGAUCCGCUGUAUAUUCCUAGCCCUCCGAUGAGAAUGUCUCGCCUUGCAAAUUGUGGGUUGUUUGACAACGCUUUAGAUGCAAAGCAAGGAUUGGGACGUCGAAUGAAGGAAAUUUGGGAGUGGGUUUUGGAGAUGGGAGAGAUUGAAGAAGUGGGUCGGCUAGGAAUUGGUGUGGAAUGCAAGGGCAGUGAGAAAGAAGCCAUGAAUGAUAGCUCGACGAUAACAGUGUCUUCAUACACCAGCAGCUCUAUCUGAUCGUCCCCCAAAUCGUGGCCUUGCUCUAGCUUGAUGCCCGUGUCCUUUGUUCCUCCACCACAUCCUAGAUAAUUCCCAAAAUCCAUCUCUACCCUCUAGAGAGAGAAACAACCAUCAUAGAGGAGAGAGAGACUCAGAGUCUCAGAGACACAAACACACAGAGAUCAAAAGCUUCAGAGUUUUCAGAUCAAAUCCAAGUUUGCAAAUGUUAUUUUUCCAACCCAGAAAACCAUCUGAGAAGUUAGUUAGCAGCUGCUAAAACACUGUAAUUUUUGGAGCAAUCGAGCUGAUCAGGAGCAAAAAUGAGAUGCUUCUAUUCGAGGGUAGAAUGGGAAGAAAUGGUGUCGAGAUGCAGAUCGAGAAAGCGGUACAUGAAGCAGCUGGUGAAAGCACGACAAGCUUGGUCGGCGGCUCACACAAUAUACCUCAACUCUCUCCGCAACAUUGGCUUUUCUCUGCUCCAGUUUUCAAAUGUCGAAACUACCUUCCUAGGUCUGUGACGUGGGAAGAGUACAAUGCGAAGCUUAGAUCUCUCUCUCUCUGCAAAAAUCAUCCCACCAUAUUGACAGAGUAAGCUUCAACCUCACUAACCUCCUAGGUCCCACUUUGCCAUCCCGAUAUUUGAUGAUGGGUAUAUAUAGUGGGAGCAAUGAGUUUUGGGAAUCAAAUCAAAGUGGUGCCAUCACUGAUUCUAGCUACAAGAGAAUGAUGAAACUUUCAUGAUAUAACCCACUACUCGAUUAGUCUCAGACAUCAUUGCAAACCAUCAGACAGCUCAACCACUCCCACAAAAGAAGAAGAAAAAUGAUGUCUGGAGAAAAACAGAAAGAAAAGCAGAAAGUAAAAGCAGAAAGCAAAAAAAGAUAAAAAGAAGCAGACGUAAUUGCAGUGGUGAUGGCAUGCAGAAAAAGAAAUUAUGGGCGUGACCUAUUAAGUAAAGGGUCGGAUUUAUUUUUGAAUGAUGUGAUUUAUUUUUCUUAUAUUUCAAAGACAUCUGUAUAACCCCAUCAGAGGGUAAUAAUAAUAAUUAAAAUUAAAAAAAAAAAGGCAAGCCCAAAAUGAUGGGCUGGAGUGUUAUGUGGAGGGCGAAGACCCGUAUGCCCAAAAGAGCCAGGCCCUCUAUUAUCACCAACCAGGUGAUCAAAAGUACGUCUAGUACUACAAAAAAAAAUUCGGCAGCCUGUCACUAUUAUCACCAACCAGGUGAUCAAAAGUACGCCGAGUACUUCAAAAUUAUUCGGCAGCCUGCCGCUAUUAUCACCCACUAGGUGAUCAUAAGUACGUCCAGUACUCCAAGAUUAUACAUGAGCAUCACUCAUGUCAAUCAUACAUAAACAUUCAUGAGCAUCACUCAUGUCAAUCAUACAUAAACAUUCAUGACCAUCAUUCAUGUCAACGUUCAUGAGCAUCAAUCAUGCCAACAUUCAUGAGCAUCACUCAUGCCAACAUUCAUGAGCAUCACUCAUAUCAACAUCCAUGAGCAUCACUCAUGUCAAUCAACAUAAACAUUCAUAAGCAUCACUCAUGUCAAUCAGCUUCGAAAGCUUCAUUUACACAGUUCCAGCUUUGAGAGCUCUAGCUUCAAAAGCUUCAUUUACAAAAGCUUCACUUGCAAAGCUUCACCUACAAUGCUUUAGUGCAGAGUAUACAAAUACCGCAUCCGAACAACCACCACUUCGGCCCAUACAUGGAUUCAAUUUGAAAUCUCUAGCCAACAUACUCUAUUGACUGAAGACUUGGGGGACUACACCAUGUACCAUAUAUUGGGCUUCCACAACUAGGCCUCAUGAAAAAUACUUAGGGGACUUAACCCAUUAUUUAUGUAUUAAGGAGCGAGCCCUUAUUCUAUAAAAGGGACUCCCUCACUUUCAUUAAAGAGCACCGAUUAUUUAUGUACUGAGGAGCGAACCCUUAUUUAUAAAAGAGACUCCCUUACCUUCAUUAGAGAGCAUCGCCGCCAGCUGAGCAACUGCAUCGCCACGAGCAUCACUCUUAAUCCAUCACUUAUGUAUUGAGGAGCGAACCCUUAUUCUAUAAAAGGGACUCCCUCACCAUCAUUAGAGAACAUCACCGCCUACUGAGCAACCGCCUCGCCGCGAGCAUCAACUCUAGCCCAUCAUUUUUGUAUUGAGAAGCGAUCCCUUAUUCUAUAAAAGGGAAUCCCUCACCUUCAACGCCACAAGCCGAGCUAACCAAGGCAACAUAAGCCACAAGCAGAUCAGCCUCGCAACAUGUGCUACUUCUGGUUGAGCAUCAUUUCAGAUUGGGCACCGCCUCAUAUCGAGUAUCAGUUCUAGACGACAUCUAGUUACUUCGGCCCACACAUGAACUGAAUUUCAAGUCUCCAGCCAAAAGACUCUCUUGACUGAAGACUUGGGGGACUACUGUUUGUACCAUACUUAGGGCAUCCGUAUUUAGACCUAGUAUAAAUACUCGGAUGACUCAAGUGUAAUUAUGUAAUAAAUAAAGGGGUAAAUAUGUAAUAAGUGAGGAGCCCUUAGUCUAUAAAAGGGACUCCUCACCCUCACAAUCUGAAUGACUCACUCUCAUAUUCAGAGCUUUUAUCCUCAUAGAGAAGCUCUCUAUCACUCUCCCUUACAAUCCUCUCACAAACAGAGAAAUACAAUAUCAGUGUGGACAUAGCCCAAACAUUGGGGUGAACCACGAUACAUCUUGUGUUCUUUACUUUCAUGCAGAUUCACGGUCAGAUUUACGUUGUUCCAAGACCCCUCCGGUUUUGUGCAUCAACAAGUUGAAGAUUUGAUUGUUAUCUUGAAGGCUAAUGCCAAUUAUUCUCAUAGUGGUUGGCGAAUUAAGGUUGAUAACCAAUUGUUCAUCACGAUUGUAUAUUCUUAUUGUUAAUUUCUGCAAUUUAGGAGAUUUUUCUGCAAUUUUAUAUCUAGAUUUUUCUGCUUAUAUUUCAGUGUUGUGCUCUAUUUGUUUUGGUUCUUUGGCCCUCGGUUAGAAAUUAAUAUUUUAAUUAAUAGUGUCAGACCAUUUUUCUUACCAUCUUAACCAAAUGGUCAGAGAGCCAUAGGCCAAACAUAGCCCUAUGACAAAAAAUCAUCUCCAACCGAGGGGGCCAAAGGGACAAGGGCCAAACAUAAUUUAUUAUUUUAAUUAAAUUAAUAUGGUUACUUAAAUUAAACUACCUCAAUAAUUUUACGUCUGUGAGUAACUUUCCAGAUUUCUUGUCGAUAUGUAAUCUCAAUAUUUUUUCUGAUUAGAUUUCGAGUGCCACACGGCAAGAUGUAAUUGAUUGUGGGAAUUUUUUUUAUAAGAUUUUUAUAUGCUUCUAAUGUCCAUAAAGAUGGUGGAUAUUGGCCUAUAAUUCACACACUUUCAACUUUGCCCUCUCCAAUAUCUCUUUCAAUUCAAGUUUGCAAUGAAUUCCAACUUUAUAUCCUCUUCGGAUUCCAACUAGGGGUUCUCUUCUAAUUCUAAAUUGGAAGAUAAAUAGGUGCAGAUGAAGCAAGAAGAUGAGGAGUUCGAUUAAGAAGAUGAAGCAUGGCGCAAUACAUCAUAUAUGGCAGUUAUGGCUGGGGUCAUGGCUUGUCAGGCAACUGAAGAACAACCUCAAUGGGGUGGCUCUAUUGCUGGUCGUGUUUACAAGCCACGAAAUAAAGAGAUGCCACAUCAGAAUCUGAUGAAAAACUACUUCAACCCUCACUCGAUGUACAACGAAAAGGAUUUCAGACGUCGCUUUCGGAUGAGACGUCAUGUCUUCAAGUGUGUACUUCAUGAUGUCCAGUAUGUCAAUCCAUACUUUCGACAGAAAAUGGACAGAGCAUGCCGCCAUAAUUUCUCACCGCAUCCAAAAGGUUACUAUUGUACUCCGAAUGUUGGCCUAUGCUUCCCCAGCUGAUGUGAUGGAUGAUAUAUAUGGUAUGUCUGAGUUUACAUACCUUGAUACUCUUGCUGAAUUAUGUGAAACAGUUGUUUAGCUUUACAAAAAUAAGUACCUCCGUCAACCAAAUCAAGCAGAUCUAGAGCGGCUCAUUCGCAAAGUUGAGCUGAUGCGAUGGAUGAUACAUAUGGUAUGUCUAAGUUUACAUGCCUUAAUACUUUUGCUGAAUUAUGUGAAACAAUUUUUUAGCUUUACAAAAAUAAGUACCUCCGUCAACCAAAUCAAGUAGAUCUAGGGCGGCUCUUUCGCAAAGUUGAAGAUCGUGGCUUUCCGGGCAUGAUAGGGUCAAUACAUUGCAUGCAUUAGCAGUGGAAGAACUAUCCCAUUGGAUGGCAAUGAGGCUUUAACGGAAGAUCGAGAAAGCUAACAAUUGUGUUAGAGGUGAUUGCAUCAUUUGACAUAGAUCUGGCAUGCUUUCUUUGGAGUCCCAAGAUCCUAAAAUGAUAUUACAAUUCUUGGUCGUUCACCCCUCUUCAAUAAUCUGACAGAGGGUAAAUCACCUCAACUUGACCACUACGUCAACUUGCAUCAAUACAACAUAGGGUAUUACUUAGCAGAUAACAUCUACCCAAAGUGGGCGACACUUGUCCAAGCAAUUGCAAACCCUGGGAAUGACGCCGAAAAGUGGUUUACCUUACACCAAGAGGCAUACCGGAAAAAUGUUGAGAGAGCUUUCAGUAUUCUACAAGUACAGUAGAAGAUCAUUAUGGAACUAGCAAAAUGGUGGAGUCGAGAAAAUUUGGACUUCAUCAUGAUGUCUUGCAUCAUAUUACAUUACAUGAUCGUGGAGGAUGAGCAAGAUGGGUAUAUUGAAGGAUAGUCUGAUGACGACCAAGAGGAUCCAAAUAGGUCAAGAAUGGCUCAUGCAAAAAUAUAUGAUGGGCCUAAUUUGCAUUUGAAUCCAAGAACUGGUAAUAUCUUUUUGAAUGAGUACAUGAGACAUCAUAGGAUGAUACGGUCCCAUGCCACAAACAAGUACCUACAACAGGAUAUUGUUGCGCAUCUUUGGGCCAAAAGAAGCAUGAAGUAGGCGUUUAAGUUUUAUGUUGUUAAAUGUUUUUAAAAGUGUUAUUUAAGUUUCAUGUUUUUAAAUGUUUUUUUUAUGUUGUUUAAUGUUACUUAAUAUUAUUUAAUGUUGUUUAAUAUUGUUUACAUUUGUUUCAUGUUACUUAAUAUUAUUUAAUGUUGUUUAAUGGCUUAGGAAGUUAUAGGAAAAUAUAAAAAAAAAUGAAAAAAAAAUGUAAAAAAAAUACUUAAAUAAAAAUUCAAAUAUAAUGGCUAGCUGACGUCAGCAACUAGCCGUUGGUUUCAAACGUUUAGCUCGGCCCAAGGCUGGCUGGGUUAGACUAGUCGGUUGGCCCUUUUCUCCUUUUUUAGCCCGGUGGUGGGGCCCACAAGCCCUUUGGCCUAGCCCUCGGUUGGAGACGGCUUUUGUGUCAUUUCAGGCUAUUUUUUGCUUUAUGAUCUUCUGGUCGGAUCGGUUGGAGAUGGCCUUACAUAUCUUGUUUUUAAUUAAAGAUUUGAUUGUUAUCUUGAAGGCCAAUGCCAAUUAUUCUCAUACUGGUUGAAGAAUUAAGGUCGAUAACCAAUUAUUCAUCAAGAUUGUAGAUUCUUAUUGUUAAUUUCUGGGAUUUGGGAGAUGUUUCUGCAAUUUUACAUGUAGGUUUUUUUGCUCAUAUUUCUGUGUUGCAUCAAUUUCUACUCAAGCAUGAUGACUGACUCGGUUAAACUUGAAAAUCUUUUGGGAAUGAUGACAAUUCCAUCAAGUGGAAUUUUCAAUUUUGCUCUGUUUUUCGUGGCUAUGAUUUGUUUGAUCAUUUUACUAGUGAGUCUCCUUAUCCUCCCAAGUUUGUUCUUACUCCUGAAUUGGGGGUUUCCAUUGAAAUUAGUACUGCAUAUAAAGCAUGGAUUAAAAUUGAUAUGGCUCAUUUGAGUCUUCUUAUUGCCACUUUGAGUGAUGAUGCCAUGGAACAUGUUGUUGGUUGUAAAACUACUCAUGAAUCUUGGACUGCCUUACAAGAUAGGUAUAUGUUUGUCUCUAGUGCUAGUGUGAAUCAUUUAAAGGCUGAGUUACUCACUAUUUAGAAAGGAAGUGAUAAUGUUGAUAAGUAUUUGUUAAGGCUAAAGACAAUUAAAGACAAACUCAUUGCAGUUGGUGAAAAUAUCACACAUAUUGAUUUGGUUAUUACUGCAUUGAGUGGUUUGCCUGUUGAUUUUGAUAUGAUUAGAACUGAUAGGAGCAUAUUUAUGCUACUUAGUUAGCUUGUUUUAUUGCAUUUUCAUAGUUAGUUUCUACUUAUUAUAGUGUUUUAAGCUAUUUUCGUGUGUUUGUAGGUCCAAAUGACAAAGUUGGCAAGAAAUUGCAUUUUGGAGCAGUUUUGGGCUGGAAUGGAUAGCUUACAUAUGAAGCACAAGGAAUGGACGAAUUUGAAGUUCAAGAGAGGCUAGGAAUGUGCUAAAGAGUUGAGGAAAUUAAUUCAAGACAUUAAAGAUAAGGAAUUAGCUCAAAAGAAUGAGAUAUUAUCCAAACUGCCUUAUCUUAUCCAAAACCUUAUCUAACCUUAUCUCUUCCAAACUAACCUUAUCUUAUCUUAUCAUAUCCUAAUCCUAUCCUACCUUAAUUCCAGCUGCAAGUGGGACUCCUUAUCACAUUAUAAUGCCUAAUAUCUGAUUCUAGAAGCCCUGAAACAAUGCAAAUAACCUGAUCAUUUUCCCCCUAGAAAUCUGACGAAUUUAAUCCCUUUCUAGAAGCUUUAUGCUGAAAUUCCUAGUCCUAUUCCUCUAGGAUUGUGUAAUCCUUCUACUCCACUACGUUGUGUAAAACCUAGCCUAUAAAUACAUAUUUUCUACCACAAUUCAAACCACCACCCUCUACCAUCAUAUCACACACCAUUCACCACAAUUUCACACCAUACAUACUCAUAUACAUACAUCCUUUUAGUACUGCAGUUGUGCAAGGAAGGAGAAGAUUGAGUCACCUGGAGCCGUGCUUGCCAUUCAAGACGUUGGAUUGUUGAAGCGUUUCUAAGUGUAUUCUAUCUUUGUUUUCAAUGUUUAAAUUUAAUUGUCUUUGUUUAAUUGCGAACAUGAGGAACAAAUUUCUUUAUAUUUGGAGGUGAAUUCGAAGCCAUGAUUAUAUGUUUUAUAUGAAUUGAUUACAUCCAGUUAUUGUUUCUUGAGUCUUGAAUGUGAUUUGCUUAUCUGAGUUAUCAAAACUUGUUUAUGUAUGUAGACUGAGGGUCGACACUUAAUUUGCAUGCAUGAAUUUGAUGCUAGAUUAUAAGGGAGUUUCACCUAAUCGUUAUGAACUUAUAUUCACAAGUAGUGGAAGUCACUAGUCAUAAUUGUGUUAAGUAAAUCAUUGGCAGGAGUAUCAUGUUUUUCAUAGUUACAAAUACCUCGUCAAUGCUUAUGGUUUUCAAAGAACUUAAUGACAUUUGAUAUGUGUUUCUAUCAUGCUUUCAUAGUAAGGGAACUUGAUAAUGAUAAUUUGGUUGCGAUGCGUAUUCCAUCAAAUUCAAUGAAUUAAGGAAAAUUUGAUGGUUAAUUUGUGCUAUCACGGUUAACUUGGGGUGUUGUAAUUCAUAGUCUAAAUGAAUAAUAACUGAAAAUUGGUUUGUAUGCAUAUGUCAUGUGUGGAGAAUGACCAUCUAGCUAGCCAAUCACCCAUAUUUUUCCCCAAAUUCAUGCUAAAUUUGCUUAAGAUUUUAAUUUAUUUGUCUUUACUUUAAAUUCGUCAAAAACCCAAUCCCUUUUACUUUGCUGUGUCAAGUUAGUUAGAGUCUGUCCAAUUUGUGUUUUUAAGUGUUUUAAGUCAAGUUAAAAUCAAUUUUCGUCCAAUUCACCAUCUGGUGUCUAGUUUGAGUCUACUUGAUUGUUUUGUUCUAUUUUGAGUCUUUUUAGUUUGUUUUGAGUUCAUAAGAGUCUAGUUUAGUGUUUUCAAGCCCAGUUAAGUGUUUUUGAGUUAAAUUUGAGUAGAUUAGCAUCCCUCCCAAUCCCCGGCCUAGAAUGAUCCCUACUUACAUCUUUACUGCAAUUGUCAAUAAGAGGGUUUAAUUUGAGUGCUAGUUAAAUUUCACAUCAAGAACUAUGGUAUUAACCAGAUAAACACCUAUUUCAUUGAAAGAAUUCAGGGCUCAACUCUUAGGGGUUGAAAAUACUAUAUGAACUAGGAUGCAUUCUUUUAUUCAAAGCAUGACCGCUAUGUAUGUUAAUGGUUUAGUUCCAUCUUCUUCUGGUGUUAAUUCUGCAUAUCAGUCAGUUUCACAAGCAUUUAGUUCUUCCACUGGUUCUAGUUCUUCUGUGCCAUUUCCACCCAACUUUGGCUUUGGUUUUGUUGCUCCUAAUUCUUCUAAUUUAGGUGGUUCAACUUCUUAGUCUUAACAGCAAUUUCCUCCUACUAAUGCCAAUGGUUUUAAUGGAGCUUUAAAUCCGUUUGGCAAUCAAGGACCUAAGUAUUUUUUGUAAUAAUGGCUAUACUUCUUUUGGAAAUAACUAUGGCAAUCAGUCUAGUAAUAAUUUUGGAGGUAAUGGUUACAGAGGUAAAGGUAAUGAUGGCUAUAAACCUAAGUUUAAUAGUAAUAGAUCUGUCAAGUAUUGGUCUGUAACACUUCUAAUAAACAAAAUGUAGUUCCUGAAUGUUAGAUUUGUUCAAGGAAUGGGCAUACUGCAGUGACUUAUUUGUAAAAAAAUGAAACUACUUAGGUUGUGCAAGAAUGUCAGAUUUGUGGCAAGAGAAGCCAUAUUGCCAUUGAUUGCAGACACAUGGGUAACUAUGUUUACCAAGGGGCUCCUCCCCCUCAUUCACUCAGUGCUAACCAUGCAUUUCAGGAUUAUUCUUCUCAGUGUCAGUAUCCUGUUGCUCAAUUUCCAGUUUAGUUUUCUUUACAAGGUCAGAUAUUGCAUUUGCGAUUAACACUGUGUGCCAAUUUAUGAAUGCCCCUACUAAUGUUCAUCUUGGUAUGGUAAAGAGAAUUCUCAGGUUUUUACAAGGCACAAUGAAGUGUGGAUUGACAUUUACUUCUGGCAAUAGGAUUGAUAUUAGAGGUUAUAGUGACUCUGAUUGGGAUGCAGAUGUUAAUACCAGACGAUCUAUCACAGUUUAUGUGGUCUAUCUUGGUGCCAAUCCCAUCUCAUGGAAAUCUAAGAAACAAAGUUCUGUUUCUCGCAGUUCCAUUUAAGUGAUUUUAUGUGUUGUUGUUCCCAAUCCACCUUUUUACUAUGUGACAAUCAAUUUGCCAUUGCCUUGAGCUUGAAUCACAUUCAUCAUUCAAGGAUUAAGCAUUUAGAAAUAGAUUUUCACUUCAUUUGAGAGCGCGUUAAAAAAGGAGACAUGGAUGUGUAGUAUGUGCCUACACAAGACCAAAUAGUUGAUAUACUUACAAAGGGUUUACAUGGAACUGAUUUUCUACGACAUUGUCACAAUCUUAAUAUGGGGUACCCCAGUUAAGAUUGAGGGGGGUAUUGGAUAUACAUGUGCCACAUAAGGUAAUUGCCAUGUUAGCAUUAGCUUCAGAUAUAAGCUACCUUUGAACUAUUGUAUAAAUAGGCUUUCCCUCUCUUUUCAUUUAGUUAAGUUAGACAUAUUGUAAAACAGAAUAUUCAGAGAAAUACAUUUGAGCUCUCUUUUCUUCAUCUAACAGGUUCAAUUCAUACAAGAUUUUUAAGAGUAUGAUCUGCACUCCCCUCCCAACUACCUGAUAGGGUUUCAAGCUAAAUAGAGGAACGAUAAUCACGACUCACUACUCAAAACUCUCUUUAAGUUCUUUUUUUCUCUCAAACUACUUUAGGCAUCAAAUGCUCUAUGGCGUGCACCCUCCCCUUUUUUUAGGGUGCUUGUCAAUUAAGGUAACAAUGUUUAUUCUUUUGUAGGUAGAAUUUCGUCAAAUCAACUGUGUACGAGAUUUACAUCCACAAUAAAUGUUACUGGAGUUAAAUAAUUACUUAUCAAUGAAAUAAAAUAAAAAAAUAAAAAUUGAACUCACAUCAAAAUACAUAACACAUAUGAAUACAUAAAUUUGUAAGCUCAUCUAACCAUAAGUAAUUCAGAUUAUACUGAUUAGCAUGAAGGUGAACAGUUGAACAAAGCACUCAUUGAAAUUCUUAACAAAACAAAAUUAAAUACGUAUCCAACAACUUGUGAGGGCCCAUAGCAGAAAUUAGCUUCAUAAUUUCUCAAUUAUGUGGGACCAUGUUACAUAUGUGGAUGCAAAGUAUUAACCUGUUGAAUUUCAGGCGGCCUACACCAACUAAUUUAUUAUCUUCAGUCUAAACCCAUGGCCCACCAUAAGACCUCAUCACCGUCUGAUCAGUCAUAGCAAAUAUAUGAAUUGUUAUAAAAUUACAUUGCAGCGAUUGAUCACAUCAAAUGGAAAACCAGAACGAAAUGACCAAUGAAUCCAAGCACUAAUACAAUAAGAGCGGGAAAAGCAAAUUUCAAUCGCCGUUUUAGUUUAAGGAUAAAAUAGACAUUAGGCUGCGGCAAGGUUUCUUUUUCCACGUGGCUCAUAUUUUUUUUUCUUUUCGAUAUUUUGAAACUUAGGUCAUCUCCAACCGAAGGAGGGCCAGAUGACUCGUUUUAGUCGUAUAGCCCUCUAAGAAAUUAAUAUUUUAAUAAAUAGUGUCAGACCAUAUUUCUUACCAUCUCCAACCGAAGGGCUAGAAGGCUAUAGGUCAAACAUAACCCUGUGAUAAAAAAACCAUCUCAAACCAAUGGACCAAAGGGCCAAACAUAAUUUAUUAUUUUAAUUUAAUAACUACUACAACUUAAAUUUAAAAACUAUAACAACUUAAAUUUAAAGUCUAUAAUCAUCAUCAUCUUCAUCAUCCGCCAUUAUAGGAGUACAGUCAGAGGUAAACAACUGUUGUCGGGCCACAAUUUCCCUCUUUUUCCUAUCAAAAUAGGUAUUCCUCAUUGGAGUGUAAUCCAAAGUGUUCAUUUGCAUAUUCCUAUCAUUCAUCUCUUCUUGUAUUUGUUUGAUCCGUUCUUCAUGUCUAUGGUUCCUUUCUUUCGUGGCAAUGAUAUUUUGCUCCGUCAUGAAUUGCAAAGAGGCCGCCAUUUCCUGUUGGAGGAGUUUUAUUGUGCGAUGUCAAUUUGUUUGCCCUAUAAUGUUAUGUUUUGACAUUGUACUUCUCCAAUUACGGGGUCCUGAAAGGAAAAGGAAAAUAAUCCCUCUAACACCGUUGGUCCACCAACAUGUUAUUUUACAAAUAAAUUAGCAUUGUGAAUUAGAUUACGUCAUCUAGUCAUACCACAAGACUGAGAAAGAGGAAACACAAAUUAUUUCAUUUUUUGAACAAAAGAUAUUAUCUACAUUAAAAUGACGAAAGAGUGAGCUAAGUUUUACAAUGACUAACAAUAAUGUAAUUCAAAUUCACAUUUCCUUGUAGUAAACAAACUCAACGGUAUAUUCAUCCUCUAAUUUAGAUCAUGCAAUUCAUUUUUCCUUAACGUAUUAUAUUUAUAAAUAAAAAAUAUUUUUUAUAUUUUAUAUAAAAAAGAAAUAAUUGAUGGUAAGUCAUGAUUAUCCCUACGUUCAGAACCUAAAGUGAUUAUGAUGAAUUUUGCCUUGCUGUAAUUACAAUCAAACAGGCUCAUCAACUGGAAACAUCAAAUAAAAAACCUCCCACAUUUUUUAAUUUCUGAAAAUAUAUAAUCCUUUUUCCCUCUUCAGAAUUCAAGUUGGAAACACACGUUUAAAUUCCUUUGGUAAGUUCGCGGGGCGUGGAAUCUCGCGCCAAAGACGACCUAAUAGUAACUGAUAGGAAAAGGGCAAAGUGACAAUUGACAAAAAGCAUCGCGGGCAGCACGCAAGGCCAAUCCGGGCAACGGGCAGCACCAAAUACCGUCUUCCUCAGCCACUGACGCCGUUUCGGCCAAACACUAGCAAAAAAGGUAAUCAAUGAUUUAUUGACCUUCUCGCACCCGAACCUGAGGCUCGGACCUCACAUUUCGAAAAGUCCAAGCCACUGGCAUCGAAAAUAAUGGAGCCAAAGCAAAAGAUAGAGAGAGAAAAAGAGCGUAUUUUUAGAGAGAGAUAGAGAGGCAGAGAGGUAGAGUGAGGGUUUUAGAGAGAGAGUAAGAGAGGGAAAAAGUGGGGGAUGGGUCAGAUCGUGAGGAGGAAGAAGAAGGGGAGGCCAUCGAAGGCAGAUCUGGCACGCCGGUCCGGCGAGCUGCCGGCGAAGCCGACGAAGAAAGAGUCGGACGUCCGGCGGAGCCUGCGGCGGAGAAAUGUUAAGUACAACAUAGACUACGACGACUACUUGGACGAGGAUGACGAGGAAGACGAGGAAGAAGACGAGAGGAGGAGAGAGAAGAAGGUGAAGCUGGUGAUGAAGCUCGACCAGGCCGGAAACCGUUCGGCGCGUGAUUCCCACGCGCAGGAUUCUGGCGGCGAUGAGGAUGAGGAGGACGGCGAGAGUGAGAGGAAGCAGCAGAAGAGGCGCCGGAUUAACGGCGGCGAUGAUUCCGAUAAAGACGAUGACGGAAUUGAUGACGACGAUGACGGCGAUGAUGAUUGUGAGGUAUGUGUUUGUAGAUAGGGUUUUAGCAUCAAUGCACGGAUCCGAUGAUGAAAGAAGGAGAGCUCCUUUGAAAUGGGGAGAGGGAGAUUGUGUGCGCGCGAGUCCAGCUCAGAGUAGUGUUCUGAUUGGUCCAGACUUCUAUAUUGCACACACUCUCUCUUUCUAGCUUCUCUCUCACUCUUACACACACACUCACACACUCUCUCUCUCUUUCUCUCUCUGUGUCUGUUGCUAAUAACGGUCGGAGUCAACUGUCAAAAACCAACACGAAUCUGAUCACGCUCUCCCCACGUUCCUCUCUCUCUCUCUCUCUCUCUCUCUCUCUCUCUUUCUCACACACACUCUCUCUCUAGGUACCCAUUGUCUGCUGUGCCAUAUAUGUCUUUGUCUCUGUCACAUUAAACCGCAGUCUUUCUUGCUUUUACAUUUUAAUUUCGUUGGACUGUUUAUUUAUUUCUUUGGGGUUUUCAUGGCGCCUAUGGAUUUUGACAGGAACGGUGUCGAAAAGCUGACUCAAAGCGGCCUGAUUCCCCUCCAGGUUUGUUUUUGGUUCAUUGCAUAUCCAUUUUUCGGGUUUCUGGGUGAAUUGGAUGUAUGGGUUUUAGUUUUUUGUUUUUCGUUCUGGGUUUCUGAUUUGUGAAUUUGAUAUGGGGUUGUUGAAUUGUUAUUGGGUUUGUUUCAGGAGCGCCGUCUGAUCCAAAUGCUGCGAUUCCGUUGCCGGAUAAGAAAACGUUGGAGUUGAUUCUUGACAAGCUUCAAAAGUAUGGGUUUGCCCUCUGUUGUUAAAUGUUGCUAAUUUCAAAGCUAAAAGCUUUGUUUUCUGACGCUCACAUCUCAUUGUGGCAGGAAAGACACUUACGGUGUAUAUGCAGAACCAGUUGAUCCUGAAGAGGUGCGGUUAAUUUUUCGCCAUGAAAUCGUUCUGUGUUCGUCAGCGCUCUUCGCUAUUUCAGGGGUUAGAGUUUCAUAAGGUGUUUUAAUGUUACAGCUUCCUGAUUAUCACGAGGUCAUUGAGCGUCCAAUGGACUUUGCCACGGUGAGAAAGCAGGUAGCAAACGGAUUGUAUUCUACACUGGAACAAUUUGAGGUGAGUGCUCAUAUGUUACCAACCACAUACUCUCAUUAAUCUUCAGGGGAUUAAAUAGGCUUUGUUGUAGAAACACUGCAUGACUUUCCUCAAUACCCGACAACAUUAUAGGAUCUUCUUAAAGUUAAGGGUGGGGGCUGAGGGGGCAGAAUAAUUUUUCUUCAACUUUUCCCUCCCUUUUAGUUUUUUGUUACGGUGAACACCUCUGUAUAUACUACUGUGGUGUUCAUUAAUUAGUUCAGGGAAUUUGGGUAGCAAAGUGAAAGAGGGAGUACUGAAAAAGUAAUUUAGAUACUUGUUGGAAACAAGUUGGGCGAACUGUGUUGUGCAUAUGUUGGAAGGAGGGUGAGAGAGAUGGAGGAUAUUGGAUUUAAAGCUCCUAAGUUUUAAGGGCGCAGGAUGUGGAUUCUGUGCAAAUUGUUAGUGAUAACACUUCAGAAUUGACUGGGGAAGUGGAGUCAGACCAGUGUUAAUUGGGAAUAAAUUUUGCCUAAAAUUUCACAGUAUCUUCAAUCUAAUAUAGGAUUCCAUUUUGCCUGAUUUUUCCUUGGAUGUGCAAUUGAGGAUAGAAAUGUUGAUAUCCUUUUUUCUUUCUCCCUUCGACGUAGCUUUUUUUUUUUUGGGGGGGGGGGGGGGGGGGGGACACACUAAAGCAUCUCACAUUUAGCACUCUCAGGGUUUAGAGCCAAAUGUGAUAGCUGAUGUUUGCUUCCAUGUUUGAUAGAAUUCAAUGAAAAAUUAGGAUCACACCAUCUCUUUUGCUACCCCAUUGUGGAUUUCAGGCACAUCAUGCUUUUGGUUUAUGUUGAUCAUUAUAUGAUUAUAUCCAUUCUAUUUGGUUGAUGCUAUUGGUACAAAGAGUAGUACAAAAUCUUUCGUACAAACUAAGAUAACACUUCUCUCCCUCUCUCUCUCUCUCUCACACACACACACACACAAUCUAAGAUGACUACUCUUUCUCAAGAGAACUAUAGAAAUUUAUGGAAGGAUUUAAUCUAUGAAGGUCUUGGGAGAGAAGCUAAGCUAGCGGCUUAUGACGAUAUGCAUAAGCGACUAGAUACCAAAGAAGGAGAGUUGGAUAUCUAUAAACUAGCUAAAGCAAGGGAAAAGAAGACAAGGGACCUAAACCAAGUGAGUUGCAUCAAGGAUGAGGAUGGAAAGGUUCUUGCUACAGUGAACGCGGUCAAAGACAGAUGGAGAUCAUAAUCUUUUCAAUGAAGGACAUGAAAGGAGUACUUCUUUGGGGGAGUUAAGUAACUCAGAAAAGUGUAGAAACUACUCCCUUUACCUUCGAAUCAGGAAGGAAGAAGUGGUUGUAGCUUUGAAAAAGAUGAAGCAUAGAAAAGCAGUGGGCCCAGAUGAUAUACCGAUCGAAGUGUGGAAGGUCUUGAGAGAGACGGGUAUAACAUGGCUCACUGACCUUUUCAAUAGGAUUUUGAAAACGAAGAAGAUGCCAAAUGAGUGGCGAAAGAGCACUUUGAAUAAGGGCGACGUACAAAAUUGCAUGAACUAUAGGGGUAUUAAGCUAAUGAGUCAUACAAUGAAGUUCUGGGAGAGAGUCAUUGAGCAUAGAUUGAGGCAAGAGACACGGGUUUCGGACAACCAAUUCGGGUUCAUGCCAGGGCGCUCAACCAUGGAGGCAAUCUAUCUCUUACGAAGAUUGAUGGAAAGAUAUAGAGAUAGGAAAAAGGAUUUAUACAUGGUCUUUAUAGAUUUGGAAAAAGCAUAUGAUAGGGUCUCAAGAGACAUUCUUUGGAGGAUUUUAGAGAAGAAAGGAGUACGAUUAGCAUAUAUCCAAGCUAUAAAGGAUAUGUAUGAUGGAGCAAGUACUGCCGUAAGAACUCAUGAAGGACAAACAUCCUUAAGUCCUUACCUUUUUGCAUUGGUAAUGGAUGAGUUAACAUGACAUAUUCAAGAUGAUAUUUUUUGGUGUAUGCUUUUCGCAGAUGAUAUAGUGUUGAUAGAUGAAACUCAGGAAGGGGUAAAUGCGAACUUAACCUUUGGAGAGAAGUGUUGGAAUCUAAAGGUCUUCGCCUAAGCCGAUCAAAGACAGAAUAUAUGGAGUGCAAGUUCAGUGCAAAUGGAGGCCAAAAUGAGUUAGGGGUGAGGAUCAGAGAUAAGGAAAUACCAAAGAGCGAUCGCUUUCGCUACCUAGGAUCUAUCUUGCAAAAGAAGGGAAAAUUAGAUGGAAACCUCAACCAUAGAAUACAAGUUGGAUGGAUGAAGUGGAAGAGUGCAUCAGGCGUGUUGUGUGACCGUCGUAUGCCACUGAAGCUUAAGGAAAUUUUUUAUAGGACGGCAAUAAGGUCGGCGAUUCUGUAUGGCACAGAAUGUUGGGCGGUGAAGCAUCAACACGUACAUAAAAUAGGUGUAGCGGAGACGAGGAUGUUUCGUUGGAUGUGUGGGCAUACGAGAAAGGAUAAGAUUAAGAAUGAGGAUAUUUGAGGUAAAGUAGGAGUAGCCGAAAUUGAAGGAAAGAUGAGAGAAAAUCGGUUACGGUGGUUUAGAUAUGUGCAAAGGCCUAUUGACGCUCCGGUUCGAAGAUGUGACUACGGGAUAGAGGUUCAGGGUCGAAGGGGUAGAAGACCUAGGAAAACUUUGGAAGAUACCCUAAGAAAAGACUUAGAGUACUUGGAUCUAACGGAGGACAUGACACAGAACCGAGUGCAAUGGUGUUCUAGGAUUCAUAUAGCCAACCCUACUUAGUGGGAAAAUGUUUUGUUAUUGUUGUUGUUGUAUUUAAUCUAUGAAGAUAUUUUGCUAUAUGCUUAGUUAAAAGGGGGGCGAGGGAGAGAAAAGUGCAUAAAUUCACAUUUGAAAUUGACUAUUCUUGUAAUUUAAUAAUUUUCUUACACUACUCUCUCUCUCUCUCUCUCUAUCUAAAACACACAUCUCUCUCUCUAGAAUGAAUAAUUAAAUAAUCUUCUUACUCUAGUUCAUUUCCAUGAAAUUAUGUUAAAAGAGGAGAGAAGUGUCUUGUUGGUAAUAUGUUCCUCUUGGUUGCAGGGUGAUGUCUUUUUAAUAUGUUCAAAUGCAAUGGAAUACAAUUCAUCAGAUACGAUAUACUAUAAACAGGUAAUUAGCUUUUGCUGUCUUAUUAUUUAAGUCGUCUUGUUCGGGUUUAUCUUGUUUGUUUCUUACCACUGUCUUGUGAUAUUUUUGAAAGGCAUGUUCAAUACAAGAGCUGGCAAAGAGAAAAUUUGAUAGGCUGCGAAGUGACUAUGAACGCUUGGAAAAGGAGCUCAAAUUAGUGCAGAAAACAAAGUCCAAUUCUUUGGUCAAGAAACAGACAAAGAAGCCUUUGUGUCGAACAUUACAGGAACCCAUUGGCUCUGAUUUCUCCUCAGGUGCCACUCUUGCCACUGCUGUAGAUGUCCAGAACACUUCCCUUCCAACACAAGGUAGUGGUUGUGAGAGACCUAGCAACAUUGAUGGACCUGUAGAGGGUAAUUCCUCUUUGAAUGAAGCUAAUGUGGAGAAGCCAGAAGAUAUGUCAUCAGGUGCACUGAACUGUUUGUUUUCCCCUUUGGUAAUGUAGAAUUACGAUUUGACACAAAAAUGAACGUGUGGAUCUCAAUGUUCUUGUUAAAAUAGUGGAUUAAUUAGCAAAGUUGAUUUCUUUGCCCUCUCCUUUGAUAGACACGAAUUAUCUUAUCUCAAAAAGGAUCUGAAAAAACUUGGUCAUCAUAAUGUUGUAACAUAGCAGAGGAUUCACCUCUAAUUAUUUUAUUCUUGUACUUUUUGUAGGGAAGGGUCUCCUAUCGAAAGUUGGGAGGAAGCCAUCCGUGGUUGAUGAAAACCGCCGUGCAACCUACAACAUAUCCACUCAGCCCGUGGUCAGAUCAGAAUCUGUAUUUACUACCUUUGACAGUGAAAUCAAGCAAUUUGUUGCAGUAUGUAACAAGGAAUCUAGUCUUCACAUUUAAUCUUUUAUUUCCCUACUAGUUGGCUUUUGUACGAACUUAUUUUAAUAAUAUUUAUCCAUAUCGAAUCAGGUUGGGCUUCAUGCAGAAUAUUCAUACGCUAGGAGCCUUGCUCGGUUUUGUGGAAAUCUUGGAUCUGUUGCUUGGAAAGUUGCGUCAAAGAGGAUUGAACAAGCACUACCUGAAGGGUGUAAAUUUGGCCGCGGUUGGGUUGGAGAAUAUGAGCCACUUCCAACCCCUGUAUUACUGGUUGAAAAUAGUACCCAAAAUCAAUCUGCUUUGGCUUCAAAGUUUUAUUCAUGCCUGGAAUUGAGAAAGGAUGACAGAACUCUUAGGACUUCAGUUCCUGCUAAGGAGCACCCUGUUACAGAAGAGAGACAGCACUCCGUUAGUGUGCCUACUUCAGGAGGGAGGCCAUCUUUUCUUGGUUCUACUACUAGGGGGCAGUACUCAGAAGGGAAACCGACUGUGAUCCGUCCUGUUGGAGCAAAACCUAAUUCCACAGUUAAUCAACAGAAAAACCUGCAAUCUCAGUUUAGGGAGCCUGAGAAAAAGGUUCAAAAGGAAGUUGAGUUGAACUCCAUACCCUCAGUUCAUCCACAGAAAAACCCACAAUCCCGGUUUAUUGAGCCUGCGAAGAAGGUUCAAAAGGCAGUUGAGUUGAACUCUAUACCCUCAGUCAAUUCGCAGAAUAAAAUGCAAUCCCGGUUUAUCGAGCCUGAGAAGACGGUUCAAAAGGAAGUUGAGUUGAACUCCAUACCCUCAGUUCAUCCACAGAAAAACCUGCAAUCCUGGUCUAUCAAGCCUGAGAAGAAGGUUCAAAAGGCAGUUGAGUUGAACUCUAUACCCUCAGUUAAUCCACAGAAUAAACUGCAAUCCCGGUUUAUCGAGUCUGAGAAGGAGGUUCAAAAGGAAGUUGAGUUGAACUCCAUACCCUCAGUUCAUCCACAGAAAAACCUGCAAUCCCGGUUUAUCAAGCCUGAGAAGAAGGUUCAAAAGGCAGCUGAGUCGAACUCUAUACACUCAGUUAAUCCACAGAAAAAACUGCAAUCCCGGUUUGUUGAGCCUGAGAAGAAGGUUCAAAAGGAAGUUGAGUUGAACUCUAUACCCUCAGUCAAUCACAAUAAUGCCAAUCUUGUUGCAGAAAAGCAAUCAUCAAGAAAAUCGGAGGCAGAGGCUUCUAGGCCCAGAGAUACAGUAUCAAGGAACAUGAAUCUUCCACAACCUGUACCUUUUAAGAUGCCGGAUUCUAAUGGAAAUGUUAACCGAGGGUUGCCUAAUGGAAAAAAUGUGAGUGCUUCUCUGGACAACCGGAUGAUUAGUCCAUCUGAUAGUGCUCAUACUCAAAUGGAUAGGACAGCAGCUUUCUUUCCUCAUGGACAGGUGCAGGGUCAUAGUGAUUCCGUACAGUUUUUGAAAAACUUGGCAGAAAAGAAUCAAAAGCAACAUAAAUCAUCAAGUCAAAAGCAACAUAAAUCGUCAAGUCAAUCAUCAGUUGAUACUCAACCUAUUGGGUCAUCGGUUCCAUCAGUAAGAAGAGAUGAUUCUGGCAAUGCUGCAGCAGCUGCUGCCCGGGCCUGGAUGUCUAUAGGUGCUGGAGCAUUUAAUCAGCCUACGGAGGAUCUCACUAAACCCAAAAGUCAGAUAUCUGCAGAUUCAUUAUAUAACCCAGCUAGGGAUUUUCAGUCACAAAUUUCACGAGUUCGUGGGGAGUUUCCAAUGCAAUUUCAAACUCAGAACAGUUUUUCAUUUCCAACCUUUUUACAACAACCUGUUCGUAUGGCGAAUGAAGCACAUUUUCAAGGCCGACCUACAGUUUUUCCUCAGUUGCCAGCAGCUGACUUAUCUAGAUUUCAGGCGCAAUCACCUUGGCGGGGUCUCAGUCCAACUGCUCAGCCAAGACCAAAACAGAAACAGGAAAGCCUUCCUCCAGACUUGAAUAUUGGUUUCCAGUCCCCUGGGUCUCCGGUAAAACAGUCCUCUAGUCUUCUGGCUGACUCUCAGCAGCCAGACCUGGCGUUGCAACUCUGAGUCUAGAUACGUAUUCAGAGGAAUUAAACAAAGAGUAAAAGGGUGAGUUGUCUCUGGCUUCUGGCUUCUGGCUUCUGGCUUCUGGCCUCUGUCUCAGGGAUUCACCUCGUGUCUCUGGUGCCAUGGUUGCAUCCAGUGUGAGAAUGCCAAGGAUCUCGUUAUGACAGAAUGAUUUUAGAGGCGAUGUUUAUCCAUUUUUGACUUCUACAAGGAGUUGUCCACACGUAACGAAGGAUUGUCUCUGGUUAGAUUAGCUUUGCUCGACCUGAUAUGAUCAGCUCAGAACUUAAGAAGCUAUAGGUUUAACAGAACUUCAUUUUGUGGCCCAGAUAAGGAAUUCAGACUUGCCGACGCAGGUUUUCGUCUCGGCAGAAGGAGGAUCCAUUUGAAGAUUUAUAUCAAAUCGCUUAGGAGCUGUUACAUAUCUGGUUGAGGCCUUGUACAUUGUUACAGGUUGAUGGGUAGAUUACUUAUGUAGAAUUUAGUCAUUUUAUGUAUGUAAUUGCAUUGAGAAUUCCACUUUAUACUACUACUACGCUUAUAAUGUACAUUGUGGACUAUUGUCACUAAAAUUUAAUGUUUCUGUUUUUUCACGGUCGCGGGUUCGGCCAAUAAUCUCUCUACACAACCCGCAAACGAAUGUCGUUUUGCCAUCGGUGGUGCCACUGGGAGAAUAUCUUAGUUUCAAGCGUCUUCUUAUGUACGCCUUCAUCAGCUUUCACCUCACAUAUAAGUGAAUCAAUACAAAAUUUCGAAGAAGGAAAGACCAACAAGUCGUUUGGGGUUUAUGAAAGAUUCGACAGUACACACCCGAAAUAAAAAUUUGGAAGAGGUUCGACAACUCCUAACAAACAUCUAGAAGACGUCCAACAACUCUCUACUGAACGAUAAGAACAUUUUGAGCGACAAGCUAUGAUUUUCUCAUAAAAAACUCAAAAAUUUUCUACUUUAAACAUUACAUAAUAAUUCAAAUCCAUAAUUAGUCACAAUCCAAUCUCAAAAUCAAAGAGUAUGAAUUUAAAUUAGUUAUUUCUCGGUGUGCUUAAUUGUGCUCGACCAUUAAGGGUGAUUGAUCCCCAAUUUGAUUUUUGAUUUGGAAUUAAAAUUAUAAAAUUAUGUUUAAAUGAGAAGAAGUUGUUAGGUAGAAAGAGAGAAAAGUGGAAGUGUGAAUAGAAACUCCCUUUACGUUUCUACAUACGCAGUUUCUUUUGAUUUUGCUUAAGCUAUGUUAUGAACACAAUCAUUAUCGUUUGACAAAAGCAAAUAUUGACAUAUUGACGAGGACAAAAAGAUGAAGAAACAAAUUGUUUUCUAUGCCGACAUGCAGACAUUUUAGUCCAUUAUCAUUGUAUGAGCACUACAUAGUGUUUACAUCAACGUUUUAAAAGGUGAAGGCGUGGCAAACUGUUUCAUUGAUAAUCCCACUUCGGCGAAAGCCUUGAGGCAUGAAGUGUCAUGGGAUUUAGAUUUUUUAAUAUAUAUUAUAUAUGUAAUUAUAUAUAAUAUAACUUUGUAAAACAAUUAAUCAACAAUUAAACAAGCAAUCACGACCAAAUUGAGAUUAGAAUACUAAAAAACUUAUUUGAAUUUUGAAACAAAUUAUGGUGGUGUGGAGAAUUUCGAAACAAGUUGAGGCAUGAGAUUGGCGUAAACUUGAAAUAUGGGAUUGAGAAUUUAGGGUUUGAAGAAUCAGGGAAUUGGGGAACUGUGAAUAGGAAUAUGGGAAUCAGGUGGAUGGGGAAGAAGGGGAUCCACUGGAGAUUAUAAUGUGUAUAUAAAAGAAAUUAGACUUGACCAAAACCGUUUUGGGCCAAAUCAUUAAAAAUAAAAAUAAAAAUACUUCACCAAUACAAUGUUGUUUUGGGUCAAGUCAUAAAAAAGAAAUAAUGAUAAUUCUUCUUCUUCUUUGUGAAGAUUCAGCCAUUGCAACAUAAAGAAAAUCAUAUGGCAAUCACUGCAACAUAAAAAAAAAAAAAAAAAAACCAGAGGGCAGAGCCUUAGAGGCCCAACCUUCGAUUUCAAGGGGUGCCAGCAAAUUUUAGGCAAGGGUUUUGGCCAACUCAGAACACCCUAAGGCGUGCCUCAGCCGCCUAGGCACGCCUCAACCACAUCUAGCAAGUUUUUGCCUACUCCCAUUGGGCAAAAGCAAUUUCACUCCCACCCCGCCUCCAAAGCCGCCUAGGAGCACCUCAUGGUGCAUUUGUUAAAACACGGGUUUACGUAUAAAACUUGGUCAUAUUUUUUUAGGGAAAUACCUCAAAAUGGGACAAUUUCUUAAUCUUGAAACAAAAAUAGGACAAACCGGCCAUGCACAACCCAUGCACAAAAUCGAAAUUACUAAAAUACCCACAUAUAAAUGAGUUAUGUCCUCCCAUUUUCUGAUUUCUCUCUCUCCCUUCCUCUCUCUCUUCUCUCACUUUCUCCCUCACGCACUUUCUCUCCCCUUCUCACUGUGCACACACAGUGCAUUGUCAUCCCGACCAACAUUGUCCAAAUCGAAGUCAUAACCAAUUUCAUCUCGUCAUCAUGAGUCCAAAACACCUAGCCUUGUCACGAAUCUCAUCCCCAAUCGUAUGGAUUGAAGCUCAAGCAACCGCAAAUUUUCCGGCCAUUUUCCCUCAACAUGGCAAACAAUUGAGGCUCGAGACCACCACCACUGGACUUGAAUUGACAGUGGGAACAAAGGCCAGUCAUUAAAUGAUGGUGUUUGUUUGGAUGAAUUUUUCAAGAUUUGCUUAUUGUAUGUAAAUGACAUACACAUGAUAUGCUCAAAUCUGAGCAACCCAAAAACUUAGAAGUUAAAUUAAGGUUUGUGUUUCAUUUUGGGGCCUAUAGGUUGUGGAAUAAAUUUCAAGUUUUGACGUGCUACAAAACUGGGAUGGGACAAUUUUUGGUUCAAGUGUCCAAUUGUAGAAAUUUGUGAAUUUUUUUUCGUAAUGUGCAUAUGGUGUGCAUAUAGUGUGCAUGGCUAUAUCUUAAUACGAGAAGCGGGAAUGUUCAUUAGUUAUGAUCAGUGUUUUAAAAGAAACACCCCGAGGCGCGCCUAGGCGGCUUCGGAGGCGGGGUGAGAGUGAUAAUGCCUCUGCCCAAUGGGAAUGGGCGAAAACUCGCCCAAGAAUGGUCUAGGUGAGCCUAGACGGCUGAGGCAUGCUUAAAGGCUAUUGGUGGGCGUUCCCAGAUCCAUCAGCCACCCCAAAUUGAAAUCAAAUGGCUCUGUUGUCUAAGUAAAUCGAAGUUGAUGGCUCAGUUUAGGGUUGCAGUGGUGUGCGUCAUCUUCAUGAGGAAGACGACUAUGAAGAAGAAAAAGAGGAAUUUUUUUUUGAAAGAUUUGGCCCAAAACGACAUCGUUUUGGCCAAGUCUUAAAUUUUUUUAAAUGAGUUGGCUCAAAACGACGUCGUUUUGGCCAAGUCUAUUUUUCUUUUAUUUUUAAAACCCACAAGAGUCCCAUGUUUCCCUUGUUUUUCUCAGCUAUCCCCUAUUAUUUAAGGUCCCGUAAGGCUUCGCCUCACGCCUAGGCGGGGCUAUCUAUGGAACGCCUCGCCUACACCUCCGUCUUUUAAUACACUGGUUAUGAUGCAAUAUGUUUUGCCCUGGAAUUUAACGAGUAUGAGCCUCGACAAAAAAAAAAAAUUAUGAAAAAGCUUAGAGGACAUUAAGGAUCAUGCAUGCCCAUGAAAUAAUAACAACGAGUAUCAUGUUUUCCACGUGCAUGAUUAAACGGUGAUUGAUAUACAUAACAAGACUUUUCAAACUGCCAUUGUAACCUUACAUACGUAACAAUUAUAUUUUUAUUGUAUCCACUAUACCAAUAGGUUGCCAUUAAAGUUUCUUAUUAAUGCGAAAAACAGCUCAUUGCUUGAUCUCUAAUGCUGUGCAUAUCAUGUGUAUGUAUUGUACAUAUGAUGUGCAUGUGGUGUGCAUAUAGUGUAUAUGGUGGUGACAGAUAUCAUAGGUGAUGAUGUCAUUUUUCUGAUUUCGAAGAGAGAGCUGUGAGCUUUAGGUUUUUGGGUUGGCUCAGAUUUGUGAGCAUAUUAUGUGCAUGUCGUGUACAUACAGUGAACAUAUCCUGAAAAAUUCAUCCAACAAAACACAAUUUUUUGCCAAUUUUUAGUAAACACCAUCACAACAUUCAAACAAGGUAGGGAACCCAUCAAAACUUUAUACAACUUAUGGGUUUAUUCUCCUCUCCCCUAAAUAUGAAAGAAUCAUUUCUUUAAUCCCACUAAUCUGCAAAUAUUGGAAGGAAUAAAGCAAAAAACAGAUGAGUUUUGUGCACAACAGUUAAUGACUGGGAUUUGUUCCCACUGUCAAUGCGAGUCCAGUGGUGGUGGUCUCAAGCCUUAAUUGUUUGCCAUGUUGUUGGAAAAUGGCCGAAAAACUUGCGGUUGCUUGAGUUUUGAUCCCAACAAUUGGGGAUGAGAUUCGUGACAAGGCUAGGUAUUUUGGACCUGUGAGGACGAGAUGAAAUUGGGGGUUGCUUCGAUUUGGAUGGUGUUAGUCGGGAGGAUUGUGCACCAUGUGUGCACAAUGACAAGGGGAGAGAGAGUGCGUGAGGGAGAAAGUGAGAGAAGAGAGGGAGGGAGGGAGAGAGAAAUCAGAAAAUUGGAAAAAUAACUCAUCUAUAUACAAGGGUAAUUAAGUCAUUUCAAGGUGUAGAAAAUCUUAUUUCUAGCCAAUUGUUGUGCAUGGUCGUGUGUAUAUUUUAAAUGUCCUAUUUCUAUCUCAAGAUUAAGAAAUUGUCUUAUUUCUGGGUAUUUCCCUAUUUUUUAUGAAAAAUCUAUUUUAAAUAAACCAAUUUUUAUUUAAUGGUACAUAAUAUUCAGCAGCACAGAAAAUUAAUAGCUGAGUAUGAAAAUAAAAAAUUUAAUACAACAACAACAACAACAACAAAGCCUUUUCCCACUAAGUGGGGUCGGCUAUAUGAAUACUAGAACGCCAUUGCGCUCGGUUUUGUGUCAUGUCCUACGUUAGAUCCAAGUACUCUAAGUCUUUUCUUAGGGUCUCUCCAAAGUUUUCCUAGGUCUUCCUCUACCCCUUCGGCCCUGAACCUCUGUCCCGUGGUCACAUCUUUGAACCGGAGCGUCAGUAGGCCUUCUUUGCACAUGUCCAAACCACCGUAACCGAUUUUCUCUCCUCUUUCCUUCAAUUUCGGCUACUCCUACUUUACCUCGGAUAUCCUCAUUCCUAAUCUUAUCCUUUCUCGUGUGCCCACACAUCCAACGAAGCAUCCUUAUCUCCACUACACCUACGUGUUGAUGCUUCACCGCCCAACAUUCUAUGCCAUACAGCAUUGCCGGCCUUAUUGCCGUCCUAUAAAAUUUUCCCUUGAGCUUCAGUGGCCUACGACGGUCACACAACACGCCGGAUGCACUCUUCCACUUCAUCCAUCCAGCUUGUAUUCUAUGGGUGAGAUCUCCAUCAAAUUCUCCGUUCUUUUGCAAGAUAGAUCCUAAGUAGCAAAAACGGUCGCUCUUUGGUAUUUCCUAAUCUCCGAUCCUCACCCCUAACUCAUUUUGGCCUCCGUUUGCACUGAACUUGCACUCCAUAUAUUCUGUCUUUGAUCGGCUUAGGCGAAGACCUUUAGAUUCCAACACUUCUCUCCAAAGGUUAAGCUUCGCGUUUACCCCUUCCUGCGUUUCAUCUAUCAACACUAUAUCGUUUGCGAAAAGCAUACACCAAAGAAUAUCAUCUUAAAUAUUAAGUUUGUGAUCUUCGCUAGAUUGCUCUGAUCAUUAGUGUGGAUAAGUAUGUAAAUGGAUAGAGACAGGAAGCAAACACAAGAUGUACGUGGUUCACCCAGAUUGGCUACGUCCACGGAGUAAAGGAGUUCUCAUUAAUUGUGAAGGGUUUACACAGUAUAUAGGUUCAAGCUCUCCUUUAGUGAGUACAAGUGAAUGAUUUAGUACGAAUGACAUUAGGAAAUAUUGUGGAAGAAUGAUCUCGUAAUCACGAAACUUUUAAGUACCGAAGUAUGGUAUCGUCUUCACUUGCCUUAUCUGUCUCAUAGGUAGAUGUGACAUCUUCUUUGGAAGUACUCUUCCUCCCUCCAGGGGUGAUAUCUUUAACUGGUGGAGAUGCACAAGGUAAUGUAUCAAUUUCACUUGACGCUUACUUGUAGUUUCAGGCUUGGUCAAGCGCAAUACAAACCAUGUAGUAGGAGUCCCCCAAGUCGCCGAGCUAGGGGAUCUGCUGAAAGAGGUGACAGACAAGGUAAGUAAUCAGAGCUCCAAGCAAUCAGUCCCAGAUCAGAAGUUUGAUUUCGAGUUCCGGCUGAUUGUUAUCAUUCUCCUUAUCUUGCAGGUAGCAUGAAGGAUAAAGAGAAGAAAAAGAGAAAAUGUGAUAUGAGGUACUUUUGCUUUUGAAGAAGUAACUUUCCAAAGGCUUAUUCUUGAACUGGGCUAGAGGGUUUUCUUGUUUCCGCCAGAGUAUAAGGCCGACUGAAGAAUUUGAGGGUCAAAACAAGUCCAUCAAAUCUAGAGUACGUUCGACCCUGCUGAUAUGGGAUACUUUUGCUGUUGACAAAGUAGUGGAUGUAUCAGCACGUGUUCUGUUGCGCUUGUCUCCACAUACUUCCUUGUAUCCUUCUCACUUGCCCUAUUUGUUCCUCAGGCAGAUGUAGUAUCUUCUCGGGAAGCAUAAGAUGUUGAAGAUGAGUACUCGAGAGCAAUGGGGUUCCAGGCAGUCAGUUCCGGACUGGAAGCUUGAUUCCAAGUGCUGACUGAUUGCUCUCUUUCUCCUUGUCUUGCAGGUAAGAACAAGGCCAAAGGAAAAGACAGGGAAAAAUCAUGAUAUGGGAUACUCUUGCUUUAAACCCUGAUGAUAUGAGAUAUUCUUGCUCUGGUGUAGCUUGUUUGCAGAGGUAUUCUCGGAGGGAAAGAAAGCUGAGUAUUUCGAGAGGCUUCGUUGGGAGUGCCCUAUCAGAUAUGAGGAAGGGUUGAGCAUUUUUGCAGGCCUGCCUGUCCGUUGAGGAUGUAGGUCGACAUAUAUAGGAGUCUCCCUAACAAGAAGGAGUAAUACUAUUCUUUUACCCUGCUUGGUCAUAACACGGUAAUAGGAGCUGCCAGCUUCAUGUGUUUUAACUCUGUCAGAGCACUUUGAAAAAGUGGUCUGUGGUAUCUGGAAAGCUGAUGUUACGUGUGAAGAUUACAGACAAGCUUUAUCCAAGGAGAUCUGGCUCUCGAAGUUGAGAAAGCGGUGUGAGGAUUACAGACAAGCUUUAUCUAAGGGGCUCUCGAAGUUGAGAAAGCGGUGCCUCUUCGGUUUUCGAACAAGCAAUCCUGUCGGGGAUAUGUCUCUCGAGAUUCAGAGAACGGUGCCUCUUCGAUUUUUAAGAAAGCAAUCCUGCUAGGAGUCUGGCUCUCGAGAUUCGGAGAGCGGUGUCUCGUCUAUUUUUUGAGAAAGUAAUCAUGUUGGGAGUCUGGCUCUCGAGAUUCGGAGGACGGUGCCUCUUCGAUCUUGAAGCAAGCAAUCUUGUUGGGAGUGUUUUCUCGAAUGUGAGUAAAGGUUAGGCCUGUUUGCUAGUCUACCUUGCCACGGAGCACAAAGGUUGACCCACAAGGACUUUCCAAUUAUUCAGCAGUGGUCCUGUUCAUUUACCCUUGUGGGUAAUACUAUGGUAGCUAGACCUUCAAAAUUUAUGUGUCUAAACUUUGUUAGUGUUGUUUCUUUGCUAUUCUUUUACCCUUCUUGGUCAUAGCGAUGUAAUGGGAGCUGCAAGCUUCACGUGUCUAAACUUUGUCAGAGAUUUUUGGCAAAGUUAUCUGUGGUACCCAUGAGCUGAUGUUGCGUGUGGAAAGUGAAUGAUUGAACAGUAACAUUCACGUGCUUUCUACUUCACUAGAAAUCUUCGACAGAAUGCCCGUAAUUUCUGCAAAGUUGAGUGUACAUGUGACAGGUGCUGACAAGGCUGAAAAAGCAGGUGCCUCUUUGAUUUCUGAGAUCGGCCCUCGUGGUCUCUGAGCAGCCCAGCUUUUGAGAAAGCAAGCGCCUCUUCGAUUUCUGCGAUCGACCUUCGUGGUCUUUGAGCAGCCCAGCUUUUGAGAAAGCAAACGCCUCUUCGAUUCCUGAGAUCGGCCCUCGUGGUCUCUGAGCAGCCCAUCUUUUGAGAAAGCAAGCGCCUCUUCGAUUUCUGCGAUCGACCUUCGUGGUCUUUGAGUAGCCCAGCUUUUAAGAAAGCAAACGCCUCUUCGAUUCCUAAGAUCGGCCCUCGUGGUCUCUGAGCAGCCCAGCUUUUGAGAAAACAAACGCCUUUUCGAUUUCUGAGCAGGCGCCUCUUCGAUUUCUGAAGCUCCAUCGAGUACAGAUUUUUAUAGAGGCUGGUAUUAAGUUCCAAAGCACACUUGGAUCUCCACCAGUAGAAGCUCCCUUCUUGCAUUUCUAAGAUCUUGAUUUGUCCGAUCUCUUUUCUCUUCAACACAUUUGAAAAUGUCUGGCCCCUCCGACCGUCGUUUUGACUUGAACCUUGUUGAAGAGGCAGCCACGCCUUCUCCAGACAACAUAUGGCGCCCAUCCUUCUUAUCCCCUAUUGGUCCUCUUACCGUUGGGGAUUCCAUGAUGAAGAAUGAUAUGACCGCUGCGGUGGUGGCCAGGAACCUUCUCACUCCCAAAGAUAACAGACUACUUUCCAAACGGUCUGAUGAGUUGGUUGUUAAGGAUUCGCUCUCAGUGUUCAGUGUGCAGGUUCUGUGUCUAAUAUGGCCCAACGCCUAUUUACUCGAACCCGCCAAGUUGAAUCAUUGGCGGCUGAAGUGAUGAGUCUCAAACAGGAGAUUAGAGGGCUCAAGAAUGAGAAUAAACAGUUGCACCGGCUCGCACAUGACUAUGCUACAAACAUGAAGAGGAAGCUUAACCAUAUGAAGGGAUCUGAUGGUCAGAUUUUACAUGAUCAUCAGAGGUUUGUGGGUUUGUUCCAAAGGCAUUUAUUACCUUCGUCUUCUGGGGCUGUACCGCGUAAUGAAGCUCCAAAUGAUCAACCUCCGAUGCCUCCUCCUUCUAGGGUGCUGUCCAGUACUGAGGCUCCGAAUGAUCCCCCUCCAGUGCCUUCUCUUUCUGGGGCUCUGCCGACUGCUGAGACUUCUCCUAAGCAACCUUUGUGAAGGCUCCCUCUUGUUUGUUUAUUUUGACUCGUGUAUAUGUACAUAUUUGUAACUUCUUAGAGAUAUCAAUAAAUAAGCUUUGUUUCAUUUCAACGUAUUGUAUUAAAUACACCAAAGCCUUCUUCACUAAGUUCUUUGAAUUUUUCUUUUGUUGAAGCUUGUAUGUUGAAGCUUUGUGAGUGGAGCAUGUAGGUUGAGGAAGUGUUCCCUUAAUUUCCCGAGUGGAGAAAACUUCUCGAUUGGAGACUUGAAAAAUCCAAGUCACUGAGUCGGGUCGGCUAUAUGAAUCUUAGAACGCCAUUGUGCUCGAUCCUGUGUCAUGUCCUUCGUUAGAUCCAAGUACUCUAAGUCUUUUCUUAGAGUCUCUUCCAAAGUUUUCCUAGGUCUUCCUCUACCCCUUCGGCCCUGAACCUCUGUCCCAUAGUCGCAUCUUCUAACCGGAGCGUCAGUAGGCCUUCUUUGCACAUGUCCAAACCACCGUAACCGAUUUUCUCUCAGUUUUCCUUCAAUUUCGGCUACUCCUACUUUACCUCGGAUAUCCUCAUUCUUAAUCUUAUCAUUUCUCGUGUGCCCACACAUCCAACGAAGCAUCCUCUCCGCUACACCCAUUUUGUGUACGUGUUGAUGCUUCACCACCCAACAUUCUGUGCCAUACAGCAUCGCCGGCCUUAUUGCCGUCCUAUAAAAUUUUCCCUUAAGCUUCAGUGGCAUACGACGAUCACACAACACGCCGGAUGCACUCUUCCACUUCAUCCAUCCAGCUUGUAUUCUAUGGUUGAGAUCUCCAUCUAAUUCUCCGUUCUUUUGCAAGAUAGAUCCUAGGUAGCGAAAACGGUCGCUCUUUGGUAUUUCCUGAUCUCCGAUCCUCACCCCCUAACUCAUUUUGGCCUCCAUUUGCACUGAACUUGCACUCCAUAUAUUCUGCCUUUGAUCGGCUUAGGCCUUUAGAUUCCAACACUUCUCUCUAAAGGUUAAGCUUCGCAUUUACCCCUUCCUGAGUUUCAUCUAUCAACACUAUAUCGUCUGCGAAAAGCAUACACCAAGGAAUAUCAUCUUGAAUAUGUCCUGUUAACUCAUCCAUUACCAACGCAAAAAGGUAAGGACUUAAGGAUGAGCCUUGAUGUAAUCCUACAGUUAUGGGGAAGCUUUCGGUUUGUCCUUCAUGAGUUCUUACGGCAGUCUUUGCUCCUUCAUACAUAUCCUUUAUAGCUUGGAUAUAUGCUACUCGUACUCAUUUCUUCUCUAAAAUCCUCCAAAGAAUGUCUCUUGGGACCCUAUCAUACGCUUUUUUCCAAAUCUAUAAAGACCAUGUGUAAAUCCUUUUUCCCAUCUCUAUAUCUUUCCAUCAAUCUUCGUAAGAGAUAGAUUGCCUCCAUGGUUGAGCGCCCUGGCAUGAACCCGAAUUGGUUGUCCGAAACCCGUGUCUCUUGCCUCAAUCUAUGCUCAAUGACUCUCUCCCAAAGCUUCAUUGUAUGACUCAUUAGCUUAAUACCCCUAUAGUUCAUGCAAUUUUGUACGUCGCCCUUAUUCUUGUAAAUAGGCACCAAGGUGCUCUUUCGCCACUCGCUUGGCAUCUUCUUCGUUUUCAAAAUCCUAUUGAAAAGGUCAGUGAGCCAUGCUAUACCUGUCUCUCCCAAGGCUUUCCACACUUCAAUCGGUAUAUCGUCUGGGCCCACUGCUUUUCUAUGCUUCAUCUUCUUCAAAGCUACAACUACUUCUUCCUUCCUGAUUCGACAAUAAAAGGAGUAGUUUCUAUAUUCUUCUGAGUUACUCAACUCCCCUAAAGGAGUACUCCUUUCAUGUCCUUCAUUGAAAAGAUUAUGAAAAUAACCUCUCCAUCUGUCUUUGACCGCGUUCUCUGUAGCAAGAACCUUUCCAUCCUCAUCCUUGAUGCACCUCACUUGGUUUAGGUCCCUUGUCUUUUUUUCCCUUGCUCUAGCUAGUUUAUAGAUAUCCAACUCUCCUUCUUUGGUAUCUAGUUUAGCAUUGAAACACUAGCACUCAUAUAUUAGCAUUGAAACAUGCUGAGAAUUCUGCGGCACGAGAAGUCGGGGGAUGUUCAUACACAUUCACAUGAUAUCAGUCUGACGUUUCAUUUCCUACUGCCUGACCUUGAAUCCGCAAAACCGAACACGCCAUGUGCGAUUUCACGGCAAAAAUAAAUGGAUAAUACAUGCAGAAUUGCUGGAGCAGGAAAUAAUAAUUAUACAAGAAAUUUAAAAAUUAACCAAGUUAUUAUAUUUUAGAAUAUUAAUCACCGGAAGGAGUUCGAGCGUUGCUCGAGGGGCUCUAACGAGAAGCCGAAAAUGGGAAAAACGGAAAAAAUAAAUAUAAUGAUGCGUACAGUUGGGGGAAAAAAUGAUGACAUAGAUCCUUAGAAACUAAAUAAAAGUACUUAACAGUUAAGUACUUGAGCUGAUUCUUCUGGUUCAAACAAACGAGACAAAAAGUUUUCCUGGACAACUGCACUUGUAUAUGAACGGAAGUGAGUUCUACCACAAAUUAAUCCUUUUGCCACAAUUCCAUGCUGAUUAGCUUGAGUUGUUGUGCCUAUAAACUUUUAACCUUCUGAAAGAAAGGCGGGCGAACGAAAUCCUCAUGCUCGGGUUUUGCUUGUUUUUCAUCGAUCUAUUGUUUCUGAGAACACAAACAUCGCCAUUGCAUACGUAACGUUUGUUUCGGUGAGAGGCUUCUGAAAAGCAGCUGAAGAUGUUUGGGAGAAAAUGCAGAGUCAUUGAAUAUACAGAUGAGACUGCUAAAAUUUAAACAACAGAGACUGAUAAAGUUUUCUCUUUAUUUUCUGAAUGAAUACAGACGGACUUAUAUACAUGAAUAGGUUAUGGUCUUGGUCCCUCUGUGCACAUAUUACAUGUCCUAAUUAAUAUAAUUAGGUAUGAAAAAUAAUAAAUAAAUAAUUAGGUCAAUGUUGGAUGGCUCUUUAUCUAAUUUUAGCAACACACCACAAGGCACACGAUUAAUUGCCAUCCUCAAAAUUCAAACAAAAUGUUUUCACAGACGUGUUGGUCUCAUCUCCUCUCAAACUCUCUCAAGUAUUGGGUGUCUUGCACCUUGUUAUUAUUAUUAUAUUAUUAUUUAUUACAACCAUAAUGAGAAAAAUAAAUUGGUACCUAACUCGCUAUUUACGAUAUUCAAGCUUAAAAUCUCUCAAAAAAAAAAUAUAACACUCACCUAUUACUAAUUGGUUUUUGUAAUGAGUAUUGCGUAUGUUUUAUUCUAAACUCUCAAGACGUGAUUUUUACGUCAUAUGUAUUUAUAUAUUUCAUAUGAUAGCACAUGUAUUAAACAAUCUUAAUUUUCUGUAUUAUGUUUCUAGUAUGGAGAAAAUGAACUCUUUAUAUAUUGGCUCUCUUGGUUUUUGCUAAUGUUUAUUUAUAUUAAAAUUUCACCGAUCGACUUUGUCCGUUUUCUCUUAACUGCAUAACCGGAAUGGUAGAGUGUUGUUAAUGAAUAUCACGUUAAUAAUAAGAUGAGGAACUUUGCAUGAACUUAUAAGUAAAUUGGGUUAGUCUUGAAGUAAUAAGACUAUUCCAAUUAAAAUACUCAUUAAGAAAGAGUGGUAAUAAAUGUAAAGAAGAGAUAUCUACCACCCAAUAGCAAAGGGUUUGAACCAAGAGAUUUCCAUAUGAAUGGGCUCAUAUUGCCAAUUGGUUUUUAUGGUAGAACCUUAAUUCCACGUUACCUGAUUUAUGUUGUCCAUAUGUGGCGUUUAAAAAUACACCACACGUAAAUUAUUCAUUCUCAACACGUUUCUCAUGUUCCUCUUGCAAUGUCUCUUCUCUCAUGUAUCUAUCACAUUUGAAUUGUCUGCGAGACUUUUAAUUUGUCUGUGUCACCCCUAGUCUUUAAGACAUGUUAUUUUUCUCAUCUGGCAAGUCUGUUAAGUUUUUCGUUUAAAUUAGAACAACCUAUAUAUUACGAGUAAAUUAUUACGUGGCAUUUCAUACUAAUAAAAUAGGGAUAUAUUGAUAAAACUUAAACAUAGUUUUAUUUUGGGAGACUUUGGAUGCGGUCCCUAGUUAUGAACAAUCUUUGACUGAAACUUUGUUGGUUUUCAAUUUUUGAUCCAAGUCCCUAAAAUUAAUUGAUAAUUUAUUUCUAUGUACGUUACUAUAUUUUUUAAAUUAAAAAUUAAAAUUUAUAGUUGUUUAUAGUAAUGAGAUUUUAAAUGAAAAACAUAAUUUGUGGGAUUAAAAAUAUUAAAAUAUAAAUAUACUAUUGUGUGUGUGUGUAAACAUGGGUACAUUCAUAAAAAAUAACCAAAAAAUGAUUGUAUCAAAACAUGGGUACAUUCUUCAAAAUGGGUACAUUUAGCAAAAAUAAAAAUGGGUACAAAUAAAUAAAAAAAUAUGGGUACAAUACAAAUAAAACUGUAAAAAAUAUGGGCACAAAAAGAAAUUAAUAUAUGGGUACAAAUUAAAAUUGAAAGGAAAAUUGGUACAAAUUAAAAAAGGGUUGCAAAUUAAAAAUGGGUACAAACUAAAAAUAAAAAUAUAUGAUAAAAAAUUUAGCCAUAAAUAUAAAUAUACUAAUUGUAACAUUUUUAAUAUUAAAUGAAUAUAUUUAGAAAUAAAAAAUAUUUUAUUAUUGAAAUAAUUAAUGAUAUUAUUAAUACAAAGGACCUUGAUCAAAAAUUGAAAAGUAAUAAGGUUUUAAUCAAUAAAAUAGUAAAAAUAAGGAUGAAACCUAAUUACUCCUUUUAUUUUAUUAGCGCGAGAAAGCUAUGGUGACUAUAUAUUCAUAUACUGUAUAAGUUGUUGUCAUAAAUGAGAGUCAUGAGUCGUGACCCAAUGCCCACCUUCCAGGAACGUUUGCCACCACAUCUUCCAACCACCCAAUUUCUAAUAACCCCAAGCUUCACAAAAUUCGACCACCGCAUUGGUCAACUCUUCUGAAGGAAUCGUAUCGCAUUCUAAUUAUUUCUCUUUUACAAUUUUAAGAGUAUUUUUUGGUCGAUCAGAGUAAAUUUCAUUAAAAGAAAAAACUAGUAAAAAAUAACGAACACUUAAAGGAGUCCCAAGGUAGCAAAAAAAAAGCUUAACUCCACAAAAUAAAAAUUAUAAUGAAAUAGGCACUAAAUGAGCGACCCAUAGCAGAAAACAAAUGGGAAGACAAAAUUGCCUUUUUGUAGUGUUUCAGUAGCAUCUUUGUCUCGCUUGAGUAGUUACAAACCGGAGAUUGAACAGACUGAGACAUAGCAAACAUCGCGGUAGAAUGAGCCAUGGCAACUUGCAAGGUCGGAUGCCUUCCGAGUUCCGAGUUCAACUUUGUUAUUGCUGCGCUUCGAAGAAUCAGCAGUUACGGCAUGUUUAAUAUUUUCAAGCACUUAAAAGAACACAUUGACCAUCUAUCAGUAACUGGCUCGUAACUCAGAUGGUUCAGAGCAUUCAACGCCCGUGUUCAAUUCUCUGAACCGUGAGCAUCCAACACUUACUAAAGGCCUGGGUUUCAGCAAUGAACAUUACAACAGAAUUUUGAACACAAAAUAGGCGGAACGAAAAACAACUCGUGCCAUCGCUUCCUUUGGCAUCCAAAACAAAAUUCAAUAGAAAAGUCAAUCAUAUCAUCAAACACAAUUGAAAUAAUGAUAAUUUACUAGCUGGUUUCAUAGAAGGAUUAACCAUAUAGCAUUUUACAGAAUAAAGUCAUAGAUUCAACAACAGUUAAUAGUUAUCAUAAAAAAAGCAACCACAAAUUUGGGGCUGCUUUGAGCCGCAGUAUGCAGUAGCCGAAUUUGAAAUCCAACAAGAAUAUACACCUUUCAUGCUUCAUAAAAAAGUCUUAUUUACAUAAUGCAGAAUUGACAGCAUCAGAAUUAACCGAAUGUGUUUUCACCGCUGUAGGUCAUGUAGAGGAAACCAUCUUCGUCUUUGUUUUCCUCGUAGAUAGCAGACAUCAUAGCAGCUGUAAUACCACAAACCCAAAUAUGUGUUCAGGUAUAGGGACUGACAUGUUAUUUACAGUAUGCAUGAAACAUUUUUGGAGUAUUAUUCUCACCAGUGGGUGGCAAAAUGUUCUUCACAAAUAUAAAUAUGGCCUUCUCGGCACUGAGCUUAAUCCUCUUCCGAACCACAUAAACAAACUGCCCAACAGUCAAAUCAGCAGGAACCAGAUACCUGUUUCCAUCAUUUGACCAUUACAAAUAGCAUUUUCAAUGAGAUGACGAACAAUACAAAGAAUGUUUUACAGAUGGUGAAAGAAUACAAAUCAAGUUAACAAUAUUUCAGCUUCAAUCAAGCGCAGUUCUUAAUUCGUACCGCUAGCAUUAUGAUUAUAACUCAUUUUCCCAUUAACUACUUUAACCGUAUGGUAUAACUCAGGAAAAAAUAUUAUCAAGCUAUCAGGCGAGAAUCUGUGAGGGCAAGGAAUGGUAUGUAUGGUUAAGUUUAAGAUCAACGAUGCAUUGCCAGUGGUCUACAAGAAUCUCACACAGAAUGAAAGAAAAUCUCAGCAGCCACACAAAAUAAUAUAAAGAUUGUAACUUCUCAGUUUGGUCACAUCAGUAACUGAAGAUAACCCAACUGUAAAUACAUAUACUCAACACAUACAAGUGCACAGACGUGUAUUCUUAUGACAUAAUGAAUUUACAAAAGUAUGUCCACACAGUCCCAAAUGUUAAAAGACAGAUGUUUUCGAAACAAUAACAUUCUGAAAAAUUGCAGGGUGCCAGAAAGCAAGGCACACAAACACAUAUACUUAUGUACUUCAAAAUGACAACCUUCUAAACACUGCAGAAUGCUAGGAAGUACACCACACAUAAGAAAGUGAGUAUGAAGCCUUGACCUUACCAAAGAAGUGUGUGCAAGUGUGCGUGUCUCUCUCUCACUCAACACAUUCUUCAAAUUGAAAACCUUAUGGAAAAUUGCAUAACACAAUCAAGCAAGCCUCACAGAGUAAUUCAAAUAACAGGAAAAAACACAAUUAAGAACAGACAAAGUAUAGAGAGACUAUGAAAUAUAAACAGAGACUGACUUUUUCUUGUCAAUGUCUGGUAUGUCACUUCUUUCAGCCUUCUCCACAAUAACCUACACACACACACACAAUUAAACAAGAAUACAAAUGUUACAUAAUUAAAUAAGAAUCACACAUGGCAUAAAUCACAAGAAAAAGGAUCUUAAAAGUGUUAUUACAAGGCACAGCAGUUCAAGUCCAAAGCUAAAUGAGUUUUACAUGGAGAACUUAUGACCCUUGAUGAAGCUCCUUGAGAGAGGCACAACUCAAACACAAAAGCAUGUGCUAUUUUGGUAACAUUCAAGGCUAAAAAUAGCUUUUUGGAAUUGGAUCUGAUUUAAAUUUGAUAAUUUUCGAGAAAGAAGUUAAACUUGACAAUCACAUUGUGUUUAGGCUCUACAAGGCCUUAGCUUUAACUGCCUUCGGCAUUCAUAACACUGGUUCUUGAUGGACUAGAAAUGAUACUCAAUAUUCAUACCGGAAUUCUGUCAGGAUACUUCUCCCUGAUCCGAGCAGCUUCUGCCUGCCUCCUUUCUGGUACCAAAAUAAAGAUAAAAUGAAAACGUAACAAACAUAUGAAUAACUUGCAGAACUAGACAGUUUGAUGCUGUCGUUCCAUGACCAUUGCUACGCAUCCAAAGAUAAAUAGCUAAGCAAGCGACACUCUGCAUGGUUAGUUCCUCCAUACUUCCUACGCUUACAUUUUCGUUCCCAGACUCCAAUGACUAUUCGUUUUCACCUGCUCAAAAUUCUCACUUUUCAUGCAUACUCACCCUACAACUAAUUGAAUAAAUUUAUGACAAAGGAACGUCACACAAGUAUAAUUUACAGAUUCACAUUCAAAAUAGAAAGGCCUACCGCAAUUUAAUCUCAUAACCAAAAGUAAUAUUCGCACCAUCUCAACUAAAUCUUAAAACACCAGUAACCCAGAUCAUAAAACUCAUAAUUAUACACAGGAAGGACCAAGAAUUGUGGAAAAUAACUAAAUUUCACAUACACCCCAAAUCAAAGAGUUUUUUUUAACCUAAUUGAAUAAAGAAAACAAAUUUUCAAUUUUUUGGUUCCACUCUUAGGGAAAUUGCAAGAUACAUAUCGAUCAGCAAAAUUCAGGGUCACUCAAUCAAGCUCAAUCACAAUCACAUCACUGCACAUAACAUCCGUACUUGUUUGCUUGUGUGUGUGUGGAGAGAGAGAGAGAGAGAGAGAGAGAGAGAGAGAGAGCGAGAGAGCGAGAGAGCGAGAGAGAGAACCGAGCGGGUGUUCGAGCUUGAAGGAGCUUUUGGCCAUGGAGGAUCAGGUUUGACUGUUUCUGUAGCACUUCUUGAGUUCCGAUCAACCACAAAAAACAGAACCAAAUUAGGGUUUCAGAUCCAAAACGAGGGUAAUAAUAAAAAUCACAACAAAAGCCCCUUUCUUUAAAAUAAGCUUCUUACCAGAAGAUCUGAAGGAAUGAUAAAGGAACAAAAUUUGGGAAGGAGAGAAGGAAGGGGAGAGAGAGAGAGCUGAGGAGAGAGAAACUAUGUGAAUUGGGAAAAGAGAUGAUAAUGCUCAAAAAAACCGGAGCGUGACUCCACAACUACCUUUACCGACAUCGCCCUGCGGCCCAGGAUCAAAAUGGUUUGAGUUCUAUUUUAACUGGGCUACACCGUGGUGGCCCAAGUUUCGUUUGACCGGAAUUACGGAUUGGAAUUAACUUGCUCCAUAAGACCUUCGUUCCUUUCCUUCAAGUUCUUGGACAUAAGUGCUUUUGUUUCAAAAGCGCUUUUGUUUGGGUGUGGUAGGUCAGAUGGGCACUGGGCGCUAGUGCGCUUAAGUGCUUUACAUUUUUAAAAGCCCUUCACUGUUAUAAAUAGGCAAAAUUUAGAGAAAUAACAUUUACUCGGGACAGGAACGAAGCAGUUUCAGAGUAUUAUACCAACACAAAAUGUUGCAGAGUAUUAUACCAACACAAAAUGUUGCAGAGGAAGUAAUGUAUAUUAUUGCUAUUAGAUGUUUUCUCUUCCUUUUCUCUCCUUAAUGUUCUCUUCAUUUGAACAAUCUAAGUGCUCUAUUUAUAGAGCCACUUCAAUGGAAAUUUACAAAACUUACUAUUCACAUGUGAUACUUUACUAUACAUUACUAUAUAUAUGUGGUACUUAACUAUACACAUGUGGGCAAACAUACCCAUUAUUUACAACACUCCCCCUUGGAUGCCCACAUAUCAGUAUCAUUUGCCUCUUUAAAACCUUGCUUGGAAAAACCCAGUGGGAAAAAACCAUAGCGAAGGAAAAAGAGUACAACUUUACCUGGAUGGUGUUGAGCAUGCUUAUGUUGCCUCGUUAAAACCUUGAUGGGAAAAAUCCUAAUCGAAAGAAAAAGAGUACAACAUACAUGUAUCAUGGAUGUUCCCCUUGAAUUGUAUCUCCCCCUAAUUCCGCAUUCUUCAAAUUUGUAAGCCGAUGUAAUCCGAUUCCCUGCACCAACUUCUGAAAUGUGCACUUUGGUAGAGAUUUGGUGAACAAGUCUGCUAAAUUUUCAUUGGAACGGAUUUGUCUGACUUCAAUAACUUUACCAUUCUGAAGCUCAUGUGCACUGAAAAAUCUUGAAGAUAUGUGUUUAGUCUUAUCACCUUUGAUGAAUCAUUCCUUCAUUUGGGCGACACAGGCUGCAUUAUCUUCAUAGAUGACAGUUGGAGUGUCUGUCCUUGAAGGUAGACCACAUGAAUUCCGGAUGUGAUGGAUCAUUGAUCUUAACCAAGAACAUUCACGACUUGCUUCAUGUAAAGCAAUUAUUUCUGAGUGAUUGGAAGAUGUAGCAACUAGCGUUUGCUUCGUUGACCGCCAUGAAAUUGUAGUAUCUCCAUAAGUGAACACAUAUCUAUUUUGUGAGCGGGCUUUAUACGGAUCGGAGAGAAAACCAGCAUCUGCGUAUCCAACAAGGAUCUGAUCAUUUGUGAGCUUGUCUAAGUAGAAGAGACCCAUAUCUGUUGUCCCACAAAGAUAUCGUAGAACAUCUUUGACUCAUUUCCAAUGACGAAUUGUUGGAGCAGAGCUGUACCUGGCUAACAAGUUAACUGAAAAAACUAUAUCUGGUCUAGUACAUUGUGCUAAAUACAAUAAGUACCUAUUGCGCUCAAAUAUGGUACUUCUGGACCAAGGACCAGUUCAUCUUCUUCUUUUGGACGGAAUGGAUCUUUCUUAAUGUCUAAAGAACGAACGACCAUUGGGGUGCUAAGUGGAUAAGCCUUGUCGAUGCCAAAUCGCUUCAGUAUCUUUUCAAUGUAAGCUGAUUGAUGGACCAAAAUUCCAUUAGCACAAUGCUCAAUCUGCAAGCUGAGACAAUAUUUUGUUUUCCCAAGGUUUUUCAUUUCAAAUUCGCUUUUCAAAUAUUCAACAGUCUUAUUGAGCUCUUCAGGGGUUCCAACUAGGUUCAUAUCAUCGACGUAUAUUGCCACUAGAGCAAAUCCAGUAUUUGAUUUCUUAAUGAACACACAAGGGUAGAUGACAUUGUUGGCAUAUCCUUCUUUAAUCAAAUACUCACUGAGACGAUUAUACCACAUUCGCCCAGAUUGUUUCAACCUAUAUAGUGAUCGUCUUAAUUUGAUUGAGAACAUACCUCGUGGUUUGUUAGUUGCUUCAGGCAACUUAAGUCCUUCUGGGACUUUCAUAUAUAUGUCAGUAUCUAAUUCUCCAUAUAGAUCCGCAGUGAUGAUAUCCAUAAGUCGCAUGUUAAGUUUUUCUGAAAUCACCAAACUUAUUAAGUAACGGAACGUAAUUACGUCCAUUACAGGGGAUUAUGUCUCUUCAUAAUCAAUCUCAGGACUUUGUGAAAAACCUUGUGCAACGAGUCGUGCUUUAUGUCUUGCAAUCUCAUUUUUCUCAUUGCGUUUCCUAGUAAAUACCCAUUUGUAACCUACGGGGUUCACACCAGGCGGGAUUUGGACUAUUGAUCCAAAAACACUUCAUCUUUCCAAAGAAUUUAAUUCUGCCUGAAUUGCAUCUUUCCACUUAGGCCAAUCUUGUCUCUGUUUGCAUUCAUCAACAAAGCGGGGCUCAAUAUCAUCACUUAAGAUAAUUUCAGUGGCUAUUGUAAAUGCAAACAUGUCGUCGAUGAUUAUUUCAUUUCGAUCCCACAAUUCAUUAGUACAUGCAUAAUUUAUGGAUAUUUCUUUGUUUUCAUGUACGUUUGUCUCUUCAGGGACAUAUGUCUCAUCAAGGACAUUUUCUUUUUCUGAAAGUACAGAAUCAUGAAUUAUGGAUUUAUCAUUCAAUUUCUUUUCUUGAAUGAUAUCAUUUGGGUUCAACUAUGCCUUCAUCUUUCUCUUUCGAAUGGCUGAAUCUUUUGAACCUGGGGGUCUACCACGCUUUAAGCGUGCACUGGAUGAAUUAUUCGCUGCCACUUUUAUUUUGUCCAAUAGGGACAUCAAUUCUUACAGGUGCGUUUGCAGCUGGUAUAUGUGACUUUAUCACUUUCGAAGCAUCAUUAAAUACAUCUGGCAUUUGAUUAGCGAUACAUUGAAGAUGAACGAUCCUUUUCACUUCAUUUUCACAUUGAGUGCUUCGUGGAUCAAAAUGAGAUAAGGUGGGAACAACCCAUGUCAGUUCUUGCCGUUUUUCUGGAACGGUCUUUUCUCCCCCUAACGAUGGGAAAACUGUCUCAUCAAAUUGACAAUCAGCAAAACGAGUUGUAAACAUAUCACCAGUCAAAGGUUCCAAAUAUCUAAUGAUAGAUGGUGAAUCAAAACCCACAUAAAUUCCUAGUCUGCGCUGAGGUCCCAUUUUAGUUCGUUGUGGCGGUGCAAUAGGCACAUAAACAGCACAACAAAAAACUCGUAAAUGGGAAAUGUUUGGCUGUUGUCCAAACACGAGUUGUAUUGAUGAAUAUUGGUGGUUGGCUCUGGGUCUCAAUCUAACCAAUGAUGCAGCAUGUAAUAUGGCAUGUCCCCAUGCAGAGACUGGCAAUUUCGUUUUCAUGAGCAGAGUGCGGACUAUUAAUUGAAAUCGCUUGAUAAAUGCCUUUGCUAAACCAUUUUGAGUAUGGACAUGAGGAACAUGGUGUUCAACAUCAAUGCCCAGUACCAUAUAGUAAUCAUCAAAGGUUUGAGACGUAAAUUCACCAACGUUAUCAAGUCGAAUGGACUUAAUGGGAUGAUCUAGGAACUGUGCUCGCAACUUAAUUAUCUGAGCAAGAAGUUUCGCAAAAGCUACAUUUCGAGUAGACAAUAGGUAAACAUGUGACCAUCGGGUAGAUGGAUCAACCAAAACCAUAAAAUAUCGAAAUGGUCCACAAGGUGGUUGAAUAGGUCCACAAAUAUCCCCUUGAAUUCUUUGCAAAAAUAAUGGGGAUUCAUCAUCAACAUUUAGUUGUGAUGGUCUAAUUACCAAUUUCCCUUGAGAACAAGCCUUACAAGGGUUAUUAUUUGAGACAUCAAUGUGUCUGCUCAAUAAUGGAUGUCCAUUAGAGUUGGUAAUGAUUCUACGCAUCAUGAUAGAUCCUGGAUGACCUAGAUAGUCAUGCCAAAGCAUGUAAACCUUUGAAUCAAUGAACUUCUGGUUCAUGACAGUAUAUGCCUCAAUUGUCUUUAUGUAUGUAUAAUACAAUCCACUCGAUAAACCAUGCAACUUCUCCAAUAUACGCUUCUGGGUAUCAUUGGAGGUAAUGCAUAAAUAUUCCACAUUUUCUACACUUUUCGUUUCAAUGUGAUAUCCAUUUAGACGUAUGUCUUUAAAACUCAACAAAUUUCAAAUGGAUCGAGUAUCAUAUAAUGCAUUUUUUAUGGAUAAUAUUGUUCCAUUUGGUAACAUAAUCUGGGCUUUUCCUGAGCCUUCAAUUACAUCUAAUUGCCCUGAUAUUGUUGUUACCUUUACUUUUGCAAGUACCAAAUUCGAGAAAUACUUUCGAUCUCGAAGUAUUGAAUGCGUGGUUGCGCUGUCUGCAAGACAAAAUUCUCCGCCAUUGCUCUUGUUUUGAGAAUAACCAUAAUUUUUAUCCAUGUUCUCUGAGUAAAGAAAAAAUAGUUUAUUCAUACUGGAAUACUACUUUUAUUGAAUUGAAAAUGCGAGCAUUAAACCACAAGUACAAAUAACAGGAGUACAUUAAACAUAAAUAAUUCAAUCGGACCCAUAAACUUCAUUCCCUCUUUCAUUAAUAAAGUGUGUAGCAUCUAUGUAGGUUGUGUUUAACUGUCCUGAUAAAUUGGUCACUGGAUCAGGGGUUUCCAUUGAUUGAGCCUGGUUGAAGAAAUUGAUCUCGACACCAUUCUCUUUGAAGGAGGCUUGAUACAGCUCCACCAGAUGUUUUGGGGUGCGACAAGUACGCGUCCAAUGUCCGUUGCCACCACACAUAUGGCAAACUCCUUCAGGAUUUCUAGGAGUGUUCAUAUGAGCUUUUCCUUUCUGGUGAUUUGCAUUUUUAAAGCUCGGGCCUGGAUUAUACCUUGAAACUUGGUUGUGAAACUGGUUGUGAAACUGAACACUAUGGUUCUUGCCUUUCCUUUUCCACCGGCCUUGCUUGUGGCCACGUCAUCGUUUGUAAUUAUUGCCACGGGAGGAUAUGAUAUUCCUUUCAAGGGAAGCAGCACUCACUUCUGGGAACGAUGUUGAUCCAGUAGGUCGGGAAUUAUGGUUUUUCAUCAGGAGCUUAUUAUUCUGUUUAGCUACCAGGAGCACAUAUAUCAACUGGUUGUAUUCAGUGAAGCCUCGCGCUCUAUACUGCUGCUGCAGUACCAUGUUAGAGGCGUGGAAUGUGCUCAAAGUCUUUUCCAAUAACAUCUACUCAGUAAUAGUAUCCUCACAGAGCUUCAUCUGAGAGGUAAUUCUGAACAACUUUGAAUUGUACUCAGCCACUGACUUGAAAUCCUGGAUCCUUAGGUGAGUCCAGUCAGAACGAGCUCUUGGAAGAAUUAUUGUUGUCUGGUGAUUGUAUCUGCUUCUCAAGGCAUUCCAAAGGGCUAACGGAUCUUCAACUGUUAAACACUCGCUCUUUAGUGCCUCAUCAAGAUGGAGACGAAUAAAAAUCAUGGCCUUUGCCCGAUCUUGAGAGGUUGAGCUGCUCUCUUCCUUGAUGGUAUAUCCAAGAUUCGCUACUUCCAGAUGAAUCUUGGUAUCCAAUACCCAGGUAAGGUAAUUCUUUCUAGUAACGUUCAGGGCAGCGAAAUCAAGCUUUGCCAAGUUUGCCAUUUUCUUUUCUGAAAGAAAAAUGAGGUGUGUAAGAACUUGCAAUAAUAUGUGUUCUGGAGGAAUAUAUUGUUAGAACUUCUGGUUCUUACAAAUUUUGAUCUUUAGGCCAAAAUGAUAAGUACUCAAAACUUUAGGCUUGAGAUUUACAUAAUUAAUGAGAAGGGCAAUUGUACCGCACCAUUCUCAUUGAAACAAGUACAGGAAGGACGAUUAUUCCGCACUACUUUAAAUAGAAGGAAAAUUUAAAUAUAUAGAGUAAGGUGGACGAUUAUACCGCACCACUUUAAAUUGCGAUAAAAUUUAAAUAUGUAAAGCAGGGUGGGUGAUUAUUUCACACCACCUAAAAUUGCGAUUGCAAUAAAAUUAAAUAUGUAAAGCAGGGUGGGUGAUUAUUUCACAUCACCUAAAAUUGCGAUAAAAUUAAAUAACAUGCAAAUUUAAAUAUGCACGAUAGGGCGGGCGAUUAUACUGCUCCACUUAAAAUUUGCAGUAAAAUUAGAUCUGCAGUCCAAGAUAGGCGAUAGAACUGCACAAUCUUGGAUUGCAUAAAUAAUCAGUGGGUUAGUAGUCAAUAUCUACAUCAAACAAGAAAUCAAAGAUAUAAGUGACUGUUAGUUGGAGAACUAGAAUUAAACAUGGUGCAAACAGUUCUUCGCGAGGGUAUACCCAACAAGCAAUUGAGGCAGAGGAAGAAGAAGAACAGUAAAAACCUUAGAGGAAACAUUUUUUUUCCUUUCGGUGAAGGGAAAUGAGAAAUGAUUAGAGAGUCAUGCUGAUAACGUGUUAUAAAUAGGCAAAAUUUAGAGAGAUAACCUUUACUCGGGACAGGAACGAAGCAGUUGCAGAGUAUUAUACCAACACAAAAUGUUGCAGAGGAACUAAUGUAUAUUAUUGCUAUUAGAUGUUUUCUCUUCCUUUUCUCUCCUUAAUGUUCUCUUCAUUUGAACAAUCUAAGUGCUCUAUUUAUAGAGCCACUUCAAUGGAAACUUACAAAACUUACUAUUCACAUGUGAUACUUUAUUAUAUACAUUACUAUAUACAUGUGGUACUUAACUAUACACAUGUGGGCCAACAUACCCAUUAUUUACAACAUUCACUUUGUUUUAAAAAAAAGAUGACUUCUGUUAGAAGCAUAGGCUUAAACUUUUAUUUUAAGCUAGACAUAUGAGAUCCGACCUACUUUAAAACAAGAAAAAAUAAACUUAUUAUAGAUUGACAUACAUCAGUUCUUUUCUUUGGAUUUAUAAAUAUAGAAUUUAACAUUUUUGCAUGGAUUUUUUUUUUAGAAUUUAGGACCACUAAUUCAUAAGUUCACAUAACAUUUAAUAUGUGUUAUUUCUAAAUUUCUAUGAAUGAGAAUUUCAAAAUAAAAAAUACAAAAAAACCUCAACUAUGAGUGGCCACAAGUGUCAUCAUCACUAUCGCGGAUCUCAUCACCACCACAUGUCGUUAUGGCCCCUGUCUCUACCACAACCAUCACCGUCGUUGCCACCACCCACCAACAUUAUCAUUGUCACCACCUCCACUACUAUUACAUUUCAUAACUGUUAUCUUUCAUUUAUAUGUUAAUGAGUCUUACACACAUAUUGAAUACUGUAUUCAAAUUUCAUUGUUCUUUUAUGUUAAUAAAACAAUAAAAAUCACAAAUUAUGGAAAAUAAUAUUUUUUUUUGUUAUUUCCGUCACUUUGGAAUUCCUUAGUAAUUCUAAAUUUCCUCAUCCAAACACUAUAUUAAGGAAUUGAGACCAAAUUAAUAAGGAAUAUACUAAAAUGUUAGAUGAAGAGGAUUAGAAAUGUCUUUAAUGAGUAUAUUACAAAGGUAUUUGAGAGGGAUUUGCAAAUUCCUACUUAAGUGUCAUUUAUUAAUCUAUCUCACAUGCCUUUGUAAUGCUCGUGAAGGGCAUUUCUAAUCCUUUCUAUCUAAAUUUUUAUGGUCUAUUCCUUACUAAGUUAGCCUUAGUCUUUUGGGACUUGGAAAUCCCUCACCAAACAUACCUUAACAAAAAUACUUGGUUCCUUACAUGUAAAGAGUCAUUCUUCCUUACAUGACGACAUGAUAUCAUUUCAUCGUACAAACUUCAUUAUAUAAGUCAUUCAUUAUCUUUAUCUUCAUAUAAAGAUCAUGUCUAUAAAAAUUGAUAUAACUUGGAGAGCAAUUAGUCGUUCAUAUAUGUUGAACAAAUCUACAAUUAUUGCAACCACUAAUAUCAUCAUGAUUAAUCAUCGACUUGAUUGAUUCAUAACUACACUCAAUGAUCACCAAGUCGAAUAAAAUUUUCCCGAUAAAUAACUUGGAUUGAACAUACAACAAUUAGCAUUUCACCAAACAUAUAACCUCCAAGUGUGUUUUUCACAAUCCAAUGAUCAAAUAUGUGUUUAAUUAAAAGCCGAAUCAUAUGUAUACCACAAGAGACCUCUAAAUCAAUUAACAAAAAGCACUUAAAGAAUAAUGAUUCGAAUCUAAGUCCUCUCUUCUUUCACCUCCUUAUCAGAAACAGAAGGUGGUUCAAACAUGCUAAACACCCUAUAAGCUGAGAUCACAGCCAAUACAAGAAAGCAGCAAAGAGCCAGGGCGUGGAGAACCAAUGCCACCUUCAUUCUGUUUCAAAAGCGCCUUUUGCUUGGGUGUGGUAGGUGAGAUGGGCACUGGGCAGAAAUGCGCUCGUGCUUUACAUUUUUAAAAGCCUUUAAAAAAAAAAAGAUGAUUUCUUUUUUGAAACAUAGGCUUAAACUUUUAUUUUAACCUGGACACAUGAGAUCCGACAUACUUUAAAACAAGAAGAGAAAAAUAAACUUAUUAUAUAUUGACAUACAUCAAUUCUUUUGUUUGGAUUUAUAAAUAUAGAAUUUAACAUUUUUGCAUGAUAUUUUUUUUUAAUUUAGAAACUCUAAUUUACAAGUUCACAUAACAUUUAAUAUGUGUUAUUUCUAAAUUUCUAUGAGUGAGAGGUUCUAAAUAAAAAAAUACAAAUAAAUAAAAAACUCAACCAUGAGUGGCACAAGCGUCAUCAUCACCAUCACGGAUGCUGUCACCACCACAUGCCUUAUGGUCCUUGCCGCCGCCAUAUCCAUCACCAUCACUACCAUGACCCACCAUCAUUAUCAUCGUUGCCACCUCCACUACUAGUACAUUUCAUAACUGUUCUUUCAUUUAUAUGUUAAUGAGUCUUAUACACACAUUAAAUUCUAUAUUCAAAUUUCAUUGUUCUUUUAGGUUAACCAAACAAGAAAAAUCACAAAUUAUGAAAUAUAUAUAUAUAUAUUUUUUUUUAAUUUCCAUCGCUUUGGAAUUUCUUAGUAAUUCUAAAUUUCCUCAUCCAAACAUUAUAUUAAGGAAUUGAGACCAAAUUAAUAAGGAAGAGACUAAAAUGUUAGAUAAAGAUGAUUAGAAAUGUCUUUUAUGAGUAUUACAAAGGUAUUUGAGAGGGAUUUGCAAAUUCCUAUUUGGGAAGUGUCACUUAUUAAUCUAUCUCACAUGCCUUUGUAAUGCUUGUGAAGAGCAUUUCUAAUUCUCUCUAUGGUCUAUUCCUUAUGAAGUUGACCUUAGUCUUUUGGGACUUGGAAAUCCCUCACCAAACAUACCUUAACAAACAUACUUGGUUCCUUACAUGUAAAGAGUCGUUCCUCUUGACAUGACGACGUGACAUUAUUUCAUCGUACAAACUUCAUAAUAUAAGUCAAUUCAUUCUCUUUAUCUUCAUAUAAAGAUCAUGUCUAUAAAAAUUGAUAUAACUUGGAGACCAAUUAGUCAUCUAUAUAUAUCGAACAAAUCUACAAUUAUUGUAACCAAUAAUAUCCUCAUGAUUAAUCAUUAACUUGUUUGAUUUAUAACAAGUGAUCACCAAGUCGAAUAAAAUUUUCCCGAGAAAUAGCUUGGAUUGAACAUACAACAAUUAGUAUUUCACCAAACAUAUAACCUCCAAGUGUGUUUUUCACAAUCCAAUUAUCAAAUACGUGUUUAAUUAAAAGAUGCAUCAUAUGUAUACCACAAGAGACCUCUAAAUCAAUUAACAAAAAUCACUUAAAGAAAACCCAUCUAAUGAUUCGAAUCUAAGUCCUCACUUCUUCCACCUCCUUAUCAGAAAUAAAAGGUGGGUCAAACAUGCUAAACAUUCUAUAAGCUGAGAUCACAGCCAAUACAAGAAAGCAGCAAAGAGCCAGGGCAUGGAGAACCAAUGCCACCUUCAUUCUGCUGCAGAAUUUCCCAUAAGAAGUGCAGGCUUCACUCCAAGAGACUGUCCUGUCCCCUUUGUAAGCUAAAGACAAUAUCUCCAUCACUGCUGCCCCAGAUGUGACCAUUAGAUAAGCUACAAUCUGCACCCAAAAUUUGAAACAAGAAAGAAAUAUAUUACACAAAAUGAUCGUUGAGACAUUUUUGGUCAAAUUUGAGACAUGUGAGCUUGUUAUUAGAAUUUCAAAAUAAAACUAAAGAUUAUACUUUUAUCAAAUAUAGGACCAAUAUUGUGCUUAAUUAGUGGGCUAAAACAUUAUGAUUAUGCCUUCAACACAAAGCAAGACAACAAACACAAUUUAUCUUUAAAAAACUCUAUUGUGAGUGUAUCUAUUUUUCUUUUCCCAAAACUUUCAAGAGAAAUAAGCACAAAUAAAAACUUUUAAACAGACAACAAAAGGCACUAAAUUUAUCUUUAAAAAACUCUAUUGUGAGUGUCUAUCCAGUUCUAUUUUUCCUUGAGCGUUUGCAACCGGUUUUAUCUAUGCAUGUGUGUCAAUUGUCAAACACACACCUCCUAUUUUUUUGUCUAAAAGCCAAGUGAAAAAGAAAAGAAAUUGAAUGGGGCCAAAAGGAAAAAGAAAAUGAACCUGGUCAGAGACAAAGAAAAGCCAAGCUUUAGUCGCAAAGCAUCUGAUCCAUGAGGACAAAGCUGCAAGAAAAGCAUACACACCAGAAAUGGUACUGAUGAAAACCAUGUACCUGCAGAAACAAAGACACUUCAAACGUCAAUCAAUAACUUAAAAAUAUAAACAUCAAAGCAACGAGCUUGCAGCUUAGUUGUUUAAGAACAUUCACUCAUGCACCCGAAGUCCUGAGUUUGAGUCCCCCGGAUUUCAGUAUUGCUUGUAUCAAAAAACAGAAACAGUAAUUAUCCAAGUAAAUGAAUGGAGUUGUUACUUGAGGCCUAUGAAAUUGGAGAACUUUAGGUUGCCAUAGCUGGGGUUGUCUUGGUGGUUGGUGACAGUGAGCCAAACGGUUGCAAUACUGAGAGGAAUUACAAAAAUCCUGAGGGAGGAGUCUAUGAGCUUCAGCAACAUGUUUGCAGGUAAUGCAAGAGCAGCAGCAACAUGAAACCCUUGGCAGGCUUGGCUGGUCUUAUAUUAUACGAGUGUGUGGGAGGGUGAGAUGAAGAUGUUGGUGAGACUAAGACUAAAAUGGUAAUGUGGUAAUAAAUACAAAACAUUUGAGGAAGAAGUUAGAUAUAACUAAUGUACCAUUACUUUGCUUUCCUUUUGUUUUGGAAAAAUCAUCAAUGUGGAUUUAUUGGUCUUGUUAUUAUGAUUUUUUUUGUAUUAAAUAAAUAAAUAAUGUUUGGGUGACAAAUUAGAGCUUUAGUUCUUGAAUUAAAGAUAUGAGACUAUUCAUUUCUAAACUUAUCAUAAUGUGAAGCAGUGAUCCUUAUAAGUAAUGUUGUUAAAACUUUCGUCCAAAAUGAAAGGUUUCAAAUAGAAAACGGAAGUUCUAAGAAUCACUCAAAACAACUAAUAUUCCAUGUUAUGACAAUUUCAAAGACUAACCUUCACUAACUUUUUUUUUUUUAAUAUUUUAUAAAGCUACAACUCCAAUUGAAUCAAAUUUUAGAAACUGAUGCUCCAAUUUUUCGGUGCGGAUGGUGUCCUUGUUAGUGGGAAGAGGAAAGAUAGUGGGGCUUUGCUUUUUCAGUGCAGCUGCAGCAAAUCAUGUCAUGACGUUAUGAUGAAUAUCUAGAACAGGUGGCGUGGCGGAUUAAAAGUAGAUUUGGCUGUGCUUUUAGAGAAAAUGUUUACCCUAAUCAUAAGUGGACAGCAGAACAAUUUUGGUCAUCAUCUUUCCUUGUAAUGGAGUAUUACUAGAUUAUCAUAUAUAGUUUAUGUGAGUAGAUGUGAGUAGAGAUAGAUACAAAACGCUGUUUUCGACAUUUCAACAACUACAAAUCCACCCUAAACAUGAUCUCACCAUGACAUGUUUGAUCUUUAAACUCUUAUCUGCUUCUUUUACUUUUUCUAUUAGCUUUCUUUUGCAGUGGAAAACAUGAUUUCCUCAAAGAGCCACCAAGAAUGCUCCAAGUGAUGGUGAAGAACUUAUACGCAACGUGUUCACACUCACUGAAGCGUUCCAAGUGAUUUAUACAAGGUUACAUGGUCUUGUAUUAGUGACCAAAAGCGCUACGAAAACAGUGAACCUAUUUCCUAAAAGUUUCAAUUAAUAAUAACAACUUAAUGACUUCUCCUGCAUUUUUUUUUUUUUGGUAAAUUUCUCCGAUCAAUAUGGUUGAGUUUUGUCACUUAAUAAGUUAAUUUGCCUUUGGUCACUUAAUUCACCUACUCAAAUUCACUGCAGUCUGGGGGAGGUGGAUGGGAUAUAAAUAUGGUGAGUUGCAUUUGGUACAGAAUGUAAUUGCAUAUGAGCACAUCAACUGAGUCAACUAGUCAGUGGUCAGAGAUGCCACAUUGAAGCUUCAUCACAAAGGAAAGAGAUCAUAAACAUUUCUUCUACAACAUGAAAAAAAAAAUAGAAAAAAAUUCUAACAGGCACUUAUUCUGGAACUUCAUUAACAUUGGAAGACUUACAAUACAAAUGUUCCCGGAAGCAAUCAAAGAAUGAUUUUAACGACAAUCUAUCACCUCUUUCAAGUUUCGAUAUUGGGUAUCUCACUCCUCGUCUAAAAUGGAGCAGAAUCCAGGGAAUAGGACAGCUACUACCGUCGUGUUGCAAAAAAUUUCUGUGUGGAUUUUUAUGAUACAAGCUCAUGCCAUUUACAUUUUCCUCCCGAGUUUGGAAGAACUUUUUGUCAAUUAGAAAGCUGCAUUCCAGUGUUAAUGAACUUUUUCCUCCCGACAUUCACCUCUCUCAGACCCUGCGUAAAGCGGGAGCCUUGUGCACUGGGUACGACCUUUUAGAAAGCUGCAUUCCACAAAGCAUUCUCACCUUCUCCACAGCGCCUGUGGACCUCCUUGAUCCUCUCCGAAGACUUGCAAAUCCCACUGCAACUCCAAUCGAAUGAAGCAACGCAGAUGUUGCCUGCCUGAGCCUUCCACUCACAAUCUGUGGUAACAAUUAACAGCGUUAAACCCAUAACUAUGCGCUAUGUCAUGAUAAUAUUUAUUCCUAGCUUGAACUACCAUUAAUUAACCUUUCUUCCAAUUUUGUUUUCUUUGUAAUUCUGGACAUGAAAACUUAUCACGCAUGAAUGCGUAAACCCACACAAAACACACUGAACCAGACUAAUAACAUUGAAUAGCACCAUAGGAAUUAACACAGGCGUCUCUCACCCAUGUUAUUUCGCACAUCAUCAACCCUGACCUUGAAGUCUUUUAGACGUAAGUCAUUUGAGAAUAUACAUCGUAAAUGUAAGUGAACUCUACUGGUAAGAAAUGCUAAAACAAUCGCAGGAUCCGAACUAAGAUCUCAUGAUAUCUUAGAUGAGCUGCUAGCCACCAUGAUCACGUGUGUAUUGCAACUGGUAUCAGCUAAACAAUAAGUGUAGCAAUUAAGGGGCUGUAAUCAACCCAUGAAACAACUCUAAAUGCUCUGGAAGGUAAAGUUGAUCUGACAUUUCAAUGAACAAUAAAAUGACUGAUAACUCCCCAUGGGGCACAGCUACGCCUUAUAGCAUGUAAGCCAGUUUAUGUCACGACCCCCCAACUAUGCCCAUUCCCGGCCUGCUACAUAGUUAAAAAUGUGUAACCAAAACAAAUAAUUCAACUUGUUUACCAUAGGUGACAAAAAUAAACACGACCAUAUGAAGCAAAGAAUAUCUUGGUCAUCUAUUGCCACUCUUAAGUAACAGAAACACAAUGUUGGAGCUAUGGAACAUGUAACAGCCCAUGUCAUGCAAAUGUUUGGCACCCGAACUUUUUGUCCCCAAAACUAUUGCCAUUGGAACCUCAUUAAGACCAAGCAAGUUAAAAAAAAAAAGGGGGAAAAAACAGAUGGAUAUGAGAUUACCAGGUGGUGUUCCACAACAUAAUCUCCGGUCAUCAACCUGCUCCACGUCCAAUCCAAUGAACCACGAUCCCAAGGAAACAUCCUCAUUCACAUACUUGUGUAGCACAUGCCUAGAUGAUUAGCAUAACAUUAGAAAUAAGUAAAGGGUAGACAUAAUUUGAGCAGAAGGACUUCUACUAUAAAGAAUACGGAAACAUACUGGUUGAUUGAUAUGUAAGUAGCCAAAUCUUUUGAGAUGGCAUAAAGCUGGCCUGUGGCAUGACGGAAAUACUUGUUCCCUUCCUCACCAAAUUUCCAAUACUCAGGCUCAUGAUACCUUACUCCCCUGUCAAUAAAAAAAGUAAGGUAAGGGAGAGAAUGCCAAAAAGGUCCUGCUGGAAGAAAUAAAUUAAGCGUGCACAGCUCACUUUUGAGCAAGGACGGGACCAGAUUUCAUGCAUCCAAUAUACACCCUCGGCUUUGGUCGAUGCCUAGCUAAAGUUGCUCCAAGUGUUCCUGUAAUUAUAUAUGAUGAAUGAAAUCAACAUUGAGAGAAAAAAGGGAGAAUGAUAACAGCAAAAAUUAUUACACACAAGCUGGAGAUCAGAAUGUGCCAGUAAAAAUGCCAGCACUAGUGACUCCUUAAACAGGACUGAUUUUGCCAUUUUGGAUGUGUUCCAGAAAAGCCAAUUUCCAGUUUGUAAACAUUGAAAAGACAUAUUUUGAACAGAGAAGCCUGAUGAUUAUAUACCUAUAUUUACAUGUACAUCAUCGUCAACUUUAACAUAGAAAUCUGCAUCCCAUGAAGCAACAGCAGUGGCAAAAAAUAUUUUUGUCUUCGCUGACAAUUCAAGAUAGCCCUCAACAUGAUCCUGCUUUCAUCAAAUUUAUGAAGACAAAAUCAAUUAGCUUUUUCUGAGACCAACACAUUACGAAGAUACCUCAGAUGCCAGAUAAAAAAAAGAUUAACUGAACUAGCUGAAAAGACAAAGGCUUUACCAGCCGCAUAAUGUCACCGUGCCUGUUCUCCUCUGCUUCAAUAGCUCUAUCAAGGAUACCACCUGAUGUAGCACUAGCAAUGGAUAAAAGAAAAAAAAAUCAGGUUUUAUUUGUUUAAGAAAAGGAAAAUAUUUCAACGUUGGGGUGACCAUGUAUGAUAAAAUAAAAACGUAGACAAUCGAGGGUAAAUCAUGUGAACAUUAACUUUGAAAGACAGAAUAAAUGUUAAAGGUUUUUAUUUGUUUAAGAAAUGCAGGAGUCAAAAUAAAAUGUGUACGUAUGCAUAUAAAGACCUAUAACAGAAACAUUGGAGCUGACAGUAGUCUGGCAUUACUAUUGCUUUACAUGAUGGAGAGUAGGAUUAUGAUGCAGGUGGUGGAAGGGAGGGGAAAAUAAAUUCACAAUUCUAAGACACCUAACAAUCGGAGAACAAAAAAUAUUGAACUCUAUCAAAAUAAUUUCCAAAAUGUUUCUAAUAAAAAGUGCUCCAAGUAGAUUGUUGUUUAUCCCAUGAUAAAGAUCCCAAUGGGAUAGAGUCAAAUUCCACGAUAUUCUACUGAAAGACUGACGCUUUCAUGAAAUUUAUAUCAGUUAAAAAACUUAAAACAACAAAUCAAAAGUAAAACCAAUAUAUUUGAGCUCAAAUACUCACCUGUGACCUAUUACAAACCGAACUACAAUGCCCUUUUCUUCCUCAAGCUUCUUUCUUUUAUCGGCUAUAUAGUAAAGACAAAGUGGAAAGGAAAUGUCAGAGGCAUUCACAUAUAGUUAGAAAAUAUAAAGAAAGCAGGUUAUCGAUAAAAAACCUUGAGGCAUCCAAGUAGCACGAACUGAAUCCCUGCGCUUUCGACUGCUAAAAGCAGUAUUUAUUCCCACAACCAUCAAAUAUUUUCUUUUCUUUCUUGUCUUGGGAAUUUUUAAAUUUUCUGCAACUGGUGAACCACUUAGAAUAGAUUCCUGCGCAGCCCUUGCAGCAGCUAAUUCCAUCUCCAAAUUUGAAAUUUUUUUAUCCAGCAUGCUGCAAAUUUUACGAGUCAUAAGACAGAACAUUAAGUCAACUUCAAUAAAAUGAGAUGAGCUCCAGCAUGGCUUACUGUAUAGCACGAUGAGUCUUUGAAACUUCCCCGUAAACAUCCUUUGGUUCAUUUUCUACAUCCUUUUAAACAAAAAGAAAAGUAAAGAUGAAUAAACAAAUAACGAAAAGGUAAAGAACCGGCUGUUUAGAUAAAUUGUACUUACGAUUGUUGGAUCACAUCCAGAACCUAACUUUGGUGUUUCAUCGUCAACCCUUGUUGUACUCGAUAUGUCUUCAAUUUCAGGCACUGACCACAUUCUGUUGGCAGAAUUCAUUUAUUUUUUUAUCAGUACACCACAUGCGUGGUAUUAAAGAAACUCUAGCAUAAACGUGCUAUAUUCGCUUCUGAUAAAGUGCAAAGUAAUAACAUGUUUUGAUGGGAGUGUAUGCCCAUUCUCCUACGUUUUCCGGAAAUGAGAAGCAAAGGGAGGGAAAGAAAAGGACUAGGGAAGGAGGGCGGGCGGUGCAGAAGGUGUUGUCGUAGUACUUAAUGAAGAAGGGACAACAGAUUAAUCUCUUGAACAAAAUAAUUAAGACAAAACCUGAUUACAAGAAUGAUGUCUGAAUUGAAGCAUUGCAUCUGUUAUAUGAAAUUCAGAUCUAUCCCAAUCUCAUCAUUGCAAGGGACACAACAAACUUACCAAUUCUGCCAAAAAAAUAAGGGAACUCAACCAGGAAGCAGUUAAUAACACUAAAUAAAUUUUAAACGAGUCUGUCAUCAUCAUUAAUCUCCACUUUGAAGAUACUAACUAAACAAUUAAAAAAAUACAGCACUGAUGCAUUAAUUACAAAAACCCAGAAAACGCUCAAAAAUCCACCAUCACUCAUCAUAUUCAAAACCCACCAAGCCCCACAUCCAGAUUACAAAAAUAAUCCAAAAUCCCAAAUCUUUGAGCAAAUUUAAGGAUGGUAGAAAGCUACCCACUUCACCAAAACAAUCAUUUUCUCUGGGAUUUCAAAGAAAAAUCGAAGCUUUAAAUAUGUGGAAAUUUAAAUUAUUUACCUAUCAGAGAAGAGCAUCCCAGCACAAAAGCAACCAAUGCAAAACAAAAGGGUCCAUUUCCGAGACACAAAAGCACUCUUCGAUGCUUCUCCUUCUCUGCUCUUCCAAGACAUUCUUCUCUCAAAUCCGACCAAUCAAAGAUAAAUCAUUUACCAAUCCCAAGUCAAUGAAGUCAACGCACUCGUUUGACCCAAAAUUCAGAUCCAGAAAUCCACGUUCCUUAAAAAACCAGGAACAGCCAAGUGGCUCCUCCGAGUGCUCAAACAAUGGAGGUUCUGGUUUUGUCGGUGGGUUUCUGGGUGUUGUGUUUGUAAAUUGCAGUUAUAGAGAAGGUGGAGGUGCGUGGAGGUGCGUGGAGGUGAGAGAAAGGACCCAACAACCAUGGCGUUUACCGACUCAAAAUUACGUAACUGACCUUAACAAACAUUUCAUAUUCAAUUUUAUGUCCCAAGUUGUACGCUUAGUUUUCCAUACUUUGAUACGACUUCUUAACUACCCUAUGAUCUGUGGAAGCAUUUCUGCCCCAAAAUAUUGCAGACCAAUUCCACUUGAGACUGAGAGUCUUGAGUCGUUUUUUGGCCUGAUAUAGAAGGUCUAUGAGUGGAUAUAAUAAGUUUGCCAAUUACGAGAAAAACUUAUAUGAAACCGAGUGGAUAUAAUAUUUUUCUUUGUCUCGCUUGGCUAGGGUUCGAGAUGGCUGCAUUUAUUCUUGGAGAAAGGGAGAAGGGGAUUUUAUUCUUUAGAGCCCCGUUGAGACCCUAUGAAAAUUUCUUUCAAUUGUGUUAGUGUUUUGGUUGGAAAGGUCUUUACUCAUAGUUUCUGUGAUAAGUCAAUUACGAGGAAGACUUACGUGAGAAGUCAUGUGAUGAUAGAGAUAUGUAAAAAAAUAUGUUUACUCCUGAUAAAUAGGUGAUUAAUAUUAUUAAUUUGUUGAUGACACAAGACAGAUAAAUAAAUUUUCAGUGAAGUUACUCAUUGUAAGUUAAAGCACGCUAGCAUUAGUAAACUUUUCUGGUCAAUUAAAUUGCUGAAACAUUGCGUAAACCUUAACAAAACAUAUAUAAGAAAAGGUCGGCACAGUACACAGCAAUGGAAACAAAAUUUGAAUUAGGUUAAAACUGUGUUGUAAAUUAUUUUAAAUUAUUUUAUGUCAUCAUAUAAUCACGCGAUAAUGUCUAGACAAACAAUAUACUUCUUGAACUUGUAAAAAAUAAUUACUAAAUAAUAACACUAUUGAGACUAAAAUUUAGUUGCAUACGAAAGUCUGACGUUCUAAAUCCCAACUACCAUUACACACCAGAAGGGAGCAUGCACACGUGGAGGACGUGUAAAGAACAUCAAGAUUCAAAUAAUGGAUUUUACAGAUCAACAGACCCCAACAAAUGAAUUGCCAAUACCUGCAACUAUGCGAGGGCGUUUGUGUAGGGUUGUAACCUUCUUUUUAGGGUCGUAAUGAUUAAUCGGAACCUCGAACUUUUGUUUAGAUUCAUAAAUCAUUAAGUCCUAAUCCUGGAUGCAUGUCUUUAAGACAAAGACAAGUUCAUAGAAAGCUACGUACCUUCUAUUUCUACCUUCCUCUUUUGCCCUUUCCCUUAUUCCCAUUUGGUAAUUGCAAUGCUAUUGCUAUAUGAUAAGCGUUGAGGAUGGAUUAUCUCUACAAAAGAUUAGCCAAAUUGAAGUGAUGAGAUAUAGGUCGUUGAGAAUGACUACAAACUUGGGAGUCGAGUAUGAAAGAUUGGAGCGUACUUGGGUUAGGCAUCGGUCCAUCUAAUCCUCGAGACGAUAUCGAUCAAAGUAUGUCACACGCUAAUUAUCUAAUAGAUAGUGAUUAUUUAAAAUUCGUGAAUACUUCAAUAUUAUUCUUUUCACAAUUAAAAAGCCAACUGAACAAUGGCUUCUUCUUCAUGUGUGGUAGUAGCGGUAAGCGACGACAACAAUUGUUUUUCUCUCUCUUUUUUUUUUCUCCUCUUUAUUUCUAACCUAGGCUCGUAAUGCCAACUUAGAAUUCAUGAAUGGUUCACUGUUAUUCUUCUCAUCACUUGAAGGAAAUGUGAAUAGUUGUACAGCCCUAGCCACAAUUAAUGCAUAAAACUUAUCAUAAAAAGAAAUCUCGGUAGAAUUAAUUACAAUAUUUACAUUCCUAUUCUAACAUUAUUAUCCAUUUUGUGUUUAGAUCGACAAGUCACAUGUCACAACCAUUCAUUUCAUUACAGAAACAACCCUUCUUACCCAUGUUUUUUUCUUCUUAUUUCAGUGGUCUACGAUAUGCACCCUCACCCUCAGGUUAGGUGAUAGGGAAACAAAAGGAGCCACACAAAACUCAGUGACAAAUUAGGCAGAGUAUGCCAAAUACUUAAUUGUGAGGCCUCCGCUCUCAGUCUUUGAGCCCAUGCAUGCCACCCUGACAACCACCGCGCCAGCCUUGUGCCGGGCCACGUGUGAGCUGAGCUCGUAGGCGGCCACCUCACCGCUACUAAGUAAACAAGCCAUAAAGCUGCUGCUGCUGCUGCUGCCUUGCACCGUAAGCAUGCUGUUAGCUUUCAUAGUUCCAUUCAUGAGUACAUCUGCCCACCUGUCCGUCCUUCUAGCCCAAGACAAGGUCCAGCCCCAUAGUUCUGGUUAAACCGCUAAGUCAAUGGAUCCGGCCUAAGCCGAUUCAGACCAUUUUUGUGCUACACGCGUGUGUAGCUGUAGUGAGAAGCAAAUAAAGAAGUUGAGAAGUUUGUGAGAAUGAUACAAGCAUUUUUAAAUAGUUGAAGAAAAUGAGAUAGAAACAAAUGAUGAAGGAAUGAGAAGUUUGGCACUCAAGGAAUUAGAAAUUUUCCAAUGAAGAAAAGCUUGGCAAGGCUGAAGCAAUAUCUAGUUUUCUUC